UCAUCUUUUUGGUAAAAUCCAAGAAUGUUCUUUCACCUAGAGAAUUUCUUAAGACACUUAUCUUUUCGAGUUUCACAAGGAAAUCUCAUUAUCGGGAUCAUUGUUUGUACAUUAGAUAUAGGUGUGUGUGCCAAUAAAUUGUAAACUUUCAAUUAUUUAUUACUAUCAACAACCUUUUAUAGAAAAGAUUUCCUAAACCCUUUCAUCACUAUAGUAAAAUCUGUAAAUAUCCUCUUACUUAGAUAAUUCCUCGAGGAAACUAAUCAUUUCAAGCGCUUUGAGUAAAUCCCAUUAUUGAAGUUGACAAUUAUGCCUAGAAGAAGUGUCGCAUGAUAAGAUGCAAAUUACAAUUUAUUUAAGGUUUGUUUGGUAACCAUAAAAUAACUUUUAAUUUUUUUUCGUGUAAAAUAUAUUACUAGAAAAUCUAAUAUUUUUUGUUAUUUAGAUAAACUGUCGAAAAUUUUUUUUAUUAUUUGGAUUAUCUUAUGAAAAAUAUUUUUUAGUAUUCAUUUUCUUAAAAAAAAUUAUCUUCAAAAGUUUUCUUCAAAACCACAUUUAGUAACAUUAUAAUCUAAAAAAGUAAUAUCGUACCAAUUUAGUUAAACUCAACAAAUAUUAUCCAAAAACAAUAGAAAAGAGAGAAAAGAUUACUCAAAUUACAUACAUGUUGAAGAAAACUUAUUUUUAAGGGAUUAACUAUAGUUAACUAAUUUUAAGAAAAUCAGUUUUACCUCAUUCUUCAUUAGCUUCAAUAAAGACUUUUGAAAGAUAUUUUGAAGAUAAAGUGGUUGGUUAGAGUUCAUUCUAUCUUUUAUUUUUUUUCUCAAACAAUAGACUUUAGAGUUGACACAACAUCCAUAUUUCAAUCAAACAUUUGAGAUUGAAGUACAAAUCUAGAAACAAAAACCCAUUCGCCCAAAAGGAACAAAACUAGCUCAACCAUUCACCUAAGAAAUCCUAAGUUUGCAUAAAAUCCCCCAUUUUACAAACUUGCAUUGAAUACCUAUAUAACAAGCCUACAAGCUACAUAAUACACAUCUAGGAAAGCAACAAAUCAUUGUAGAUAAGACAAACAAAAAAACAACCUUUAAAAUAAAUAGAUACAUGUAUCCAAUCCUUAAAAGGCAAGUUAUGUCCCAAUUCUUUCAUGGUCUGUAAUAAGCUUCAAACUGAUAUGAUGAAUCUUGAAAUCUAAAAUUUAGAGAUCUUCUCUUUUGGUAGAUAGUAUUGUUUAUUGAAGUAUCCAUGGUUGACUUUGAGUUUUUGUACCAAGCUCUUCAAAUCGACAAUAGAUCUUGAAAGAGGAAGGUUAUUGAAAGAAAAAGGAGUUUUCUUUUGAAAAAAGAAAAGAAAAAGAGGAAAACAAAGAGAGUGGGAGGUGUAGGCCAUUGCAAUAGGAAAAAGAGAAACACAAUUUUGAUAGCAAAAGAAGAGAAAGAAAAAAGAAAGGGAGGAAACAAAGGAAAGGUUACUGGUCAAGAAGACUUGCGAUGUUGCCAACAAUAGUGGAAGGAGGAAGGAAAAGUAGUAGAUCAAGUGAGAGAGAAAAUGGGUUGGGACAGAGUGGGAAGAGCAAGAAGAAGACUGGGACAGAGAAAGAGCUUGUGUUUUGGAAAUUGUGUUACGCCUUUAUGGGGUCAAUGGCUUAUUUUUCGUUGACUUUGUAAAAGGUUUUACUUUUUGAAUACUUUUGCACUCAACCAAACACUUAAAUUACUGAAAAUAUUUUUUAGAAAAUAUUUUCAUGCUUUCCAAAUAGACCCUUAAUAUGAAUCAAAGUCUUUUACUGAGAGCAUUUCUCAGAUCCUUCCAUCUUUAUUGUAAAAUUUGAGAACAAAUCUUCACUUAGAGAAUUUUUCAGGAAAGUUUAUCCUUACAAACUCCUUGGGAAGGUAUCAACAUUGGAGACAUCGUUUGUUUUAAAAUAUAUACAUCAUAAUGCAAAAUUUAGUUUAUUUAAUAUGAAUGACGACUUUUUAUUGAAAGCGUAACCUAUAUUCUUUUAUCUUUUUAGUUAAAUCCAAGAACGUUCUCCUACCUAGAGAGUUUUCUGGGUGAUUUAUCCUUACAAGCCUCUUGAGAGAGUCUCAUCAUCAAAGUAGUUGUUUGUUAUGCAAUAAUAUUUACCAAAAAUGUAUGACAUGAAUAUUUAUGUGUAUGUACCUAUGAUAAAAAAAUGGUUAGAAUGUUUAUAUACUAUAUUUUUCAUUAUCAUUAUACCUUCAUUUUAUAUUAUUAUUAUUGUUAUCUAAUCUUAAAAUUAUUACAUUUAAUUUCGUACAGAUUAACUUAAAUUUAAAAUAAAUAAAUAAAUUCUACUGAUAUAUUUUAAACCCUAGUGAUUUAUAUAUUUUACUUUUAUCAUCAUAUUUUUCUAUUACAUAUAUAUUUUUAACAUCCUUCCAACCUACAUAUAUUUCAUAUAUAUUUUUUAUAUAUCUAUCCACUGUAUUAUUCAUACAUAUAUAUUAAAUUUAUAAUUUUUAGAAUUUAUUAUCAUAUUAUUUAAUAGUUAAAAUGACUAACAAAAUAAAAAUAAAAAUAAUUCCAAAAAACAUGCCAAUCAACAUCCUAUAACCCAAUAGGACAAAAAUGUAAAACGAAAGGCCUAAGUAACAUAUAAUUUGUUCCUAACUAACCCAAGAUGAGAAGCCAAUGCCUGGUCAAAGCCUAAAAUAGUGUAAGCGGGCUUUCAUGGCAGCUUUUUAAUAGGCCUAGCUUGAAGACAAUAAUGAGUCGAAGAACUAAUCUUUCAAAACAAUGUUGUUUCGUUCUUCCCCUUUUAAACCGAGUCGGCAAAAACAUCAUUUUCUUUCCCCUAUAUCAUGAGCCAACCUUGUAUCAGACUAUGAUCGGGUAGACUUGUCUAGGAGAUUGAGUCUUUUGUACUUGUAAGGGAAAUGUCCUCCUUUCAGAUAUUGUAAUGGCUCGUGGUGACAUCUUUAGAAUACUUAUUAAGUUCUUAGGGGAAAAACCUUUUAGAGAAGGAAUGUCCUCAUUUCAAGCAUUGCAAUGGCUAUUGGUAGAAUAUUUGUAAAAUCUCGUAAACUCUUUAUAAGGUGUGAGCAAUUGGUGGAUUGUUGGACUGCCUCACUAGUAAAGGUAUGUAUUGAGCAAACCAUUUAGGGUUGCCUUUAUGUCUUGACAAUGGCGUGUCUUGGUCUCUUUAUACUCAUUUUCAUAUUAAUAAAAUAUUUUUCUUUAUUUGUUCCAAUGGUUGCAUGUAUGGCAUUUGGUAUGCCUUAUUAUUUCGAUGUACAUUGGUUUAAUCUAAUUUACGGCUAUUGUUGAUGUUUGUUAAGAUCUAGACAAGUUAUUGGCUGACUCAUGUGGAAGCAUCCACUUAAGCACCACAGGAUUAUCGUAUACUUAAGCGAAGAAGUAUAGUCCAUGACAGUUGGUAUUAGAGCAUGGGUGAGACGUGUUGAGCUAAAGAGUAAACAUGGUGACCACGCGGAGUUUAGUAGAGGACCAUCGAAGGAUUGAUAAGCUAAAGGCUGCGAUGGCUGGAGUAAAAGCUCAUAUGGUCCUGUGUGAGUGAAUAGAUGAAAUUGAGACAGUCCAGCGAGAACUGUCCGAGAUGAUUAAUACCUUGAGUGAUCAGACCAGGGAUGUAUUAAGCAGUCUCCAGGAUAAGAUUGGAGAAUUGAAAGCUCAAGUAAACAUUUUGGUUAUUGCUACUGGUAAUGUUAGUGCAAACUCAAGAAAUCGAAGUAAAAGGUCCAAAGUGCCAAAGCCCAAGCUAUAUGAAGAGGCCAAAUAUGCUAAGGAGUUAGCGAACUUCUUCUUUGAUAUGGAGAUGUAUUUUUGAGUUGUGCACACAGAGUCGGAGGAGGACAAAGAGGUAAUGGCUUUAAUGUAUCUUGUUGGGGACAUGAAGUUAUGGUGGUGUUCGAAAUUCAUUGAUGGUGAAUACCAUAUCAACACUCGGGAAGAUUUCAAGUAAGAACUAAAGAAGUAGUUUUUCCUUGAGAAUGUUGAGCAUAUGACGUGACAAAAGUUAUGGGAGUUGUCAUAAACGGGAUCGAUGCGAAAGUUCGUGAGGAACUUCUUUACUUUAAUGCUAGAUAUUGGGGAUAUAACUGAAAAAGAUAGAUUGUUCUAUUUCCUCGAGGGUCUAAAACCAUGGGUGAGGAUGGAGUUAAAAUGAUAAAAGGUAUAGGAUGUGACUUCGACAAUGGCGGCUACUAAGCGCCUUACUAAUUAUAGUGAAAACUUCAAUAAAAAGAAAAACCCUCCAUCCAAGACAAGUAGCUCUAACUCAAACAGUGGGGCAAAAUUUUAGAAAGUUAGUAGACCCUCGAGUGGGGAAGGCUAUAAGAGACCAUCUACUAGAGACUCAUCUCAAUCAAGAAUAAAUUAGCCAUUCCUUUCCCUACUGCAAGUUGUCCAAUGUUUUUUUUUUAGAACAACUAUGUGUGGUACCAACUAUAAUUUUACCCAAAAGUGGGAAGAUGAUUAUAUCAGUUAUGUAGUUUAAGAAGGGGAUUAAGAAAUGUGAGCACUCUUACAUGGCCAUACCGAUCUACAAAGACGAAGAUAACAUGAAUCCAAUACCUGAAGAAGUGAAACUAUUUUUGGAAUAAUUUCAAGAAAUCAUGCCAGAAAAACUACCUAAGGUCCUACCACCUAGACGAGCUGUCGAUCACGAGAUAGAAUUACUCCCAAAAGUCAAAACGCUUGCAAAAAGGCCAUAUAGGAUAGCUCUCCCAAAAUUAGUAGAGCUAAGGCUGUGCAAACGGGUAGUUCGGUUAGUUCGGUUACUGGAUAUCCAGUAACCGAACUAAUCGAACUCAUCUAUGAAACUAAUCGGAGUAAAAAGCUAACCGAACUAAUCGAAAUCGAACUAACUCGAUUAGUUCGAUUCGGUUACUGAAAACCGAACUUAAUCAUUUUUUUUCUAAUUCUCGUUUGCCUUUUGAAUUUUUAGGCACAUUUUGCAGAGGGAAGUAACUUUGACUUAAAACCAUAGAUAAAAACAAGAUGCCUAGAGAGCAACAAUCACUGUCAAACACUAGAUUUAAAAAUAUCACAACACAACUGGCACAAAACACCCACAUAUGACAAGCAAGUGCCAGCAUCGUAUAUAAACUUCUAAUACAGAGAUAACAAAAUAUUUAUAUAUUAACUUCCAAGGAAUAAAACACAAACAGAAAUGAAAAGGUAAGCAUUCCUAGAAGCUACAGGAAACUGGAUACAGAAAUGAAAAGGUUCCCAUGUUUCUUUUAGUUCUUCUGAAACUUUUACACAUAUGCCUGCAACAGAAUAAGUAAUGUAAAGGGGUCAGCAAACUAGGCAUAAAAUGAAGUAGCCUAGAUUAAAUUAAUAAUAGCAUUCCAAAAAGAAAUUGUCUAUCAACUUUAACCAUUGAGAUGACACAAGACAUUACUAACAAAAAGACAUACUAGCAAAAAUAGACAUUACUAACAUUAGCAUUAGCCACCAGAAGCACUCAUUUCAGAAGUAAGAACCAAUAUAUGCUGCAGCAGCACCCCCAUCUUUUCUUCUGAAUGUUAAAAAAAAUUUAAAUAAAUGAAUGUCACAAUCUUGUCCAAUUAACAAAAGUAUACGAAAAAAAGAAAUCUAAGUGAUAGAGCUUAAGUGAUUAAUUAUUAUUAUCUAUAGUACGUACUAAUUAUUAAUGCACUGUAAUUUUUUUCAGUUCAUUUUACGUAACUGACUUGGGCUUAUUUUUAUGCAGUUUUCAAUUAUGAUCCAUCGAUGCACAAUGCGGCAGUAGUUGACAUCCAAGGCUACAAGAGCUACUUUGCUUCUCCAACCUUUAAGGUUUACAGCAUUGGAAAUGAUGCAAUCAAACUAUCAAAGGGACGAAACUAUUUCAUUUGCAGCAUCCCAGGUCAUUGUGAUAGGGGCUUGAAGAUUGCUAUUGAUGCUUCUUAAGUUAUAAAAUGUGGUUUCAUUACUCAAACCUUAAUCUACUCUCAAAGACGGUUUUCUUGAAUAAAUAGUUUGUGUCAAUUAAUAAGCGGUUGCUUUUGCUUGCUGCCAUGUAAAAUAGUAUUGCAGAAGUAAUUGUAUACAUGCAGAAUUUCCUUAUACUCCUAUAUAUUUCUAAUAGCUUCCUAGGGGAGGAAUUUUGUAGUAAUUUCAUGCAUUAAAUAGGAAGUAUGAGUUAGACCAAGUUAUUUAAUGCACUGCAAAAGGAAAUAUGAAAACUAAACAAAUUAUCAUCAAUAAAGACUAAACUUUUUCAAGAAUCAGAUAAUAUAAAAUUGUUAAUUUGAUAUAUAUUAAAGAGUAUAUUUAUCAAGUAUUAAACAUUAUUUGAUUACUUUGAAGAUUAUCUAGUACAUUGUCCACUGCAAUCUUUGACAACUCUACAAUACACAAACAAGAAAGUAAGAAAUAAAGCAAUUACAUAUUAACAAUUAAAACAACAAAAAUGAAAGGAUGAUAUAAAUAAAAUACUCACCUUCAUCAACUUUCUCAAGCUCUGCCAAAUCAUUCUUAGUGUCAUAAAGAUAAUAAGAAGGUCCACGUAGCCAAUCUUGAGCACAAAUAAGGGCUUGCACCAUCUUAGGUAUUAAAGAACUCCUAUAUGCAUCAAGCACAUGACCAUCGGUGCUAAAACCUGAUUCCGAAGCAACUGUGGAUGGAAGAAUCGCUAAUACAUCACGAGCUAGUAGGGCAAGAGUAGGAUACCUAUGACUAUUGAGUUUCCACCAAAUGAGAACAUCAAAGUCAUCACUAUCAGUUGCAUCAAGCUUAUUUAAACUCAAAUACUUCUCCAUUAUCCUCUUCCCUACCAAUUGCAAUCUUAUAUCUUUUAAAUUCAUUCAGAAGAGCAACACUAGCACUAGAGUCAAUAUCAUUAUCCACUUCAGAAUUUUGGCUCACUUGGGAUUGGCUACUAUCACCAACUUUCUCAAGAGGACGUUGUACAUUUUUUUGGUAUUCAACAAGCAACUCUUCCGUUGUUUUUUUCAAACUCACACAAAUUGAUGAAGCCUGCUCAUUCGAAAACAUUUUCCUCAAACAAAACUCCACAAACACAAGUUUCUUCCUUGGAUCAAGAAUAGAGGCAAUGUAAAGUAGCUUAUUCAUUUUCUCUAUAUUUCCCCAAUACUUAUCAAAUUUCUCUUGCAUUUUCUUUGCCAUUGUUUGCAACUCAACAUCAACAUGUCUUUGUCUAUCUCUCAAAAUGCAAUAAACACCACAAAUAUCAUUAAGAAAAGUAUUAAUAGUGGUAUAAGAAGUACUUGAAACUUUUACUGUGAGUGUGUAAAAAUAUUUUAAAAAAAUAUUCAACCUCCUCACAUUUUCCCAAUCUUCAUGUUUUGGUAUCCCAUCUCCCAUCAACAAAUCAGUUCUAUACUGAGAAUCAGCUUCCUCAAAUAAAGUAAAGGCUUCUUCAAACUUUUGAGCUAUUUCUAACAUCAAGUAAGUGGAGUUCCAUCGAGUACUAUCAUCUAAAGACAACAAAUUUUUUGAUUAAAUAUUUGCAGACUCAACACAUUCUUUGAACUUUGCUAACCUAGCAGGUGACUGUCUCACAUAUCUAACUGCCCCUUUAAUACAAGCAAUUGAAUGAUUCAUUUCCUCCAAUCCAUCAGUGACAAUGAGAUUAAUGAUAUGUGCAAUGCAUCUCAUAUGUAGAAAUUUGUUUUCUAACAAGCCAUUUCCUGUUAAGUUAAAUUUUUUCUUCAAAUAUGCUAUUGCAACAUCAUUGGAACUAGCAUUAUCAACAGUAAUAGUGAAAACCUUACCAAUCCCCCAAUCACGCAAACAUUUAUCAAUUAUUUUCCCAAUGGCUUCACCUUUGUGACUAUAAAUGGGACAAAAGUUUAAAAUUCUUUUGUGUAAUUUCCAAUCAUUGUCUAUAAAGUGAGCCGUAAGACACAAAUAAUUCUCUCUUUGAAUUGAUGUCCAUGUGUUUGUGGUCAGAGAAACUCUACAAGAAGAUGUUCUUAAUAUAUGCUUGAAAUGGUUCUUUCCAUUAACAAAAAGGUUAAAGCAAUUUUUAGCAACAGUCCAUCGUGAUGGCACAAUAAACCUAGGACAUGAAGUUGCUACAAAUUCUUUAAAUCCUUCCCCUUCUACAAAUAUGAAAGGUAACUCAUCUCGAAUGAUCAUCUUAGCUAGAGACUUUCUAAUGGCUUCUUGACUAAAUUUCCAAGUUCCUACUGACCCAUCCCCCGAAUGAAAAGCUAACUUAGUUUGAGCAGAAUCAUUAGUAGAACUAGGAAACUUUUUGCAAGAAUUCAUGUGCUUCUUCAAUGAAGUUGUGCCAUUAUAUUUAGUAUUAGCAGAAAGUACCCUAUCACAAUAAUUACAUCUAGCUUUUUGUUCACCUUGAUCAUUGAAAAAUCUGGUGAAGUGUUUCCAAACUUCUGACCUUGGUGGAAGUGCUUUCCGUUUCUUAGAAUUGACAACAUCACUCUCAUUAGUGGUGAUUAUAGUUUGUUGUGUAGUUGGUGUUGGUAAGGAUUACGACAUGCCAAUAGGAGGAGCAGAUUGUGUAGUAGCAUCACUAGGAGUAGGAGUUGGAUUAUCACUUUCACUUGCCAUUUAAAUCUUCAACCUAUCACUCAAAAAGAAUUAAUUAAUUAGCAAAUAUGUUAUUCAAGAAUGAAAAAUCUAUUAAAGAAUCUAUCACUAAUAGCACAUAUUAAAAAUACAUGAGAAAAUAUAAUCAUUUAAUAUAUGUUCCACUCUUUUGGUUAAUAGAAUUAGAUAGUAUCAAUUUAGAAAGUUGGCAAGAGGAAUCAAUUUCAUAUCCUAAACAUGCUCAACAAGCCAGCUUGAUCUGUCUCAUUAUAUUAUCUACAAAAGCUAGCUCACUCAAAAGAUUGAUCUUAAUUAUCUUUGGAUUAUUCAUAUUCCAUAAUUUCAAGUCACAUUUAUAAAUAAUAAAUUUUUGUACUUACCGAGUCGACAAAUCAAGCUUGAGAGGCUGUUCUGGUUUCACAACAUUUCCUAAAAUUGUAUGAGUGAGAUUAAAUUACCAAUGAUUGCUCUCAAAUUUCAUGCAGUAGUAUAAAACUAUAAAAGGAAAAAUCAAUUUCAUCUCGUUUAAUUUUAAUUGGAAAAGUCAUAUGGUUCCACACAAAAGAGUAAAGAAGAUUCUGUCAAAAGCUCAUGUAUAUCAGGCAAUGAACCAAUAAAACUAUUUAAAUGUUUAGUUACCAUUAGCUGUGUUUAAAUAUUUAAAUAUUUACAUUGGUUGUGUUUUAGUGUUGGUUGUUUUGGGGGCUUCUUUGGUUAAGAAUGGGGCUGUUUCUUUUGUUUUUAAAGACAACCAUGCAAAAUUAGGGAAAGCAUUUUGGGUUAGAAAAAGAUGUGCUUGAUGAAAUCUUGAGUCUCUGUUUUCCUUUGUACAGCACAGGCCUUUAGGGAAAGGCUAGAGAGCUUUCUUUUGUCUGUUAAGCUCAUAUUAGGGAAGGAAAUUGCCACUAAACUUAGUUAAGUAGUUUCCUACUGCAAUUGUAUUUACUCUACUUUUUGCACAAAUCAGACGUUUUAUGCCAACUUAAGUUUAAGAUUUUAAAUGUUAUGGUGGUUGGUUACUCAUGUAGGAAAUUUCAUAAAACAUUUAAAUAUUUUUUUUUUGGAUAAGCAGGUAACUAAACAUUUUCUAAUACAAUAGCUAGCUUAAAUUCAAUGAAUAAUAUUUGUAUAAACCCAAAAAAAACUUACCAAUAACUUGAUGUGGGAAGGCCCAAUAAGCUGAAGCAAGAAUGGCAGUGAUCGGCAGCGGCAGAAGUAGAAACCAGAAACAGUGAGAUCGUGAUAGUGGAGAUGGCAGUGACUGGCAAUCGAUAGAAGUUGAAAGUAGAAAGGGUGAGACCGUGAGACGAUGAGAGUGGAGAUGGAAGACUAAAAGUGCUUGGAAAGGCAGUGAUCGAUCGACAGUCGGCAGAAGCAAAAAUCAAAAAGGGUGAGACCGUGAGACGAUGAAAGUGGAGAUGGAAGACUAAAAGUGCUUGGAAGGGCAAUGAUCAAUAGGUAUUCGGCAAAAGCAAAAAUCAAAAAGGGUGAAACGGUGAGAAUGGAGAUGGAAGGCAAGGGAUGGCAGUAGUGACGGGCAGUAACAGUAGGCAGAAACUAAGGGCCAAAAGAAUUAGGUAUUUAGGUUUAGUAAUUUUUAAGGGAAAAUUUCCAAACUACCCUUUUUAGGUUCGGUUAGUUCGGUUAGCAAUUUCUCUAACCGAAAUCGAACCAAAAUAAUUUCAUUAACCGAAUUAACCGAACCGAACUAAUCGAACUCUGAACUAACCGAACUAAACUAACUGAACUUAGUUUAAUUCAGUUCGAUUAUUCGAUUCGGUUCAGUUUUGCUCACCUCUAAGCAGAGCUAAGAAAAUAAUUACACGAGCUAAUUCAAGCUAGAUUUAUCUGACCAUCUAAAGCACCUUUUCGGGCCCUAGUACUCUUUCCAAAGAAGCAGGAUGAAAGUUUACGAUUGUGCAUGGAUUACUAGGCCUUGAACAAAGUCAUAGUUAAGAAUAAAUAUCCUAUCCCUCUUAUAGCAAAUCUCUUCGAUUAGUUAAGUUGUGCAAAGUACUUCUCCAAAUCAGAUUUGAGAUCGAGAUACCAUCAAGUAAGAGUGGCUGAGGGAGAUGAAUCAAAAACCACCUACGUAACGUGGUAUGGCGCAUUUGAAUUUCUUGUUAUGCCUUUUGGACAACCAAUGCUCUUGCUACCUUUUGCAUAUUGAUUAAUCAAGAGUUCCAUGAUUAUCUGGACAAGUUUGUGGUAAUCUACUUGGAAUAUAUCGUGGUGUACAAUUCAACCUUAGAGGAACAUCAACGGCACUUACGGUAAGUCUUUCAAAGGCUAUGCAACAACCAGUUCUAUGUGAAAAGGGAGAAAUGUGCAUUCGUGCAAACCUGAAUUUAGUUCCUUUGCCACAUAAUUAAACAAAGGCACAUUUAGAUGGAUGUGUAGAAGGUGAAAGCUAUCAAAGAAUGGGCAACCUCUAAGGAUACAACUAAGCUUCAUUCGUUCUUAGGGCUAGCAAAUUAUUAUCGGAGAUUUAUGGAAGGAUAUUCAAGAAGGAUAGUAGCACUGACAAAAUUGUUGAAAAAUGAACAAAAGUGGAGUUAGACACCACAGUGCAAAGUUGACUUCGAAGGCUUGAAAAUCGUGAUGAUGACGGAUCCCAUUUUAUCACUCUUUGAUAUUGCAAGACCUUUCGAUUUACAGAUGAAUGCAUAAGACUUUACCUUUGAAGGAGUGUUGUUACAAGAAGGACAUCUGAUUGGGUUCAAAAGUCAAAAGUUAAAUGAAGUUGAGAGAAGAUACAUAGUACAAAAAAAGAACUACUAACAGUGAUUCAUUAUUUACAAGCUUGGCGACACUACUUACUAGGAUCACAAUUCAUGGUUAAGACUAACAACACAGUCGUAAGUCACUUUCUCACACAGCCAAAACUUACAGCGAAGCAAACGAGAUGGGAAAAGUUCCUAACCGAGUUUGAUUUCUCUUUCGAGCAUAAAGCUAGAAAGGUGAACAGUGUGGUAGACGCCCUCAGUAGAAAAGUUGAAUUCACAGCUCCAAGAGUGAUCGCACCAAUGAUAGCCAACAAAGUGACUAUAGAUAUUCGUAAUCUUAUUGAGGAAAACUUGCAUCGAGAUCCCCAAGCAAUGGUCAUUAUGAAGUUGCUGGAGAGUGGAAAAUUGACAUACUUUUGAGUGAAAAAUGGACUCCUACUAAUAAAAGGACCACACAUAUUUGUUCCAAGAGCAGGAGAGCUUAUGCAGAAAUGUCAUGAUACUCAUUGACUACAACAUCCAAGUUGGCAGUAGACCAUUACAUUACUGAAACAAGGUUACUAUUGGCUUCUUAUAUGGCAAGAUGUGAUGGAUUAUAUGAAGACGUGUCUCAUUUGCCAACAAGACAAAGUAGACAGACAAAAAUCGAUGGGAAUGCUCGAACCUCUAUUAGUGUUGACCAAAUUGUGAGAAAGUAUUUCUUUAGACUUUAUUGUAAGACUUCCUAAAGAUAUGAUAGUGCUCUUGGUAGUGGUGGACUAUUUCUCUAAGUACGUGACGUUUAUUCUUGUGUAUAAGUUUGGCUCAGCGGAAGAAACGGCUCAUACGAUUUUUAAACAUGUGGUAAAAUAUUAAGGUGUUCCUAAGAGCAUUAUCAACGACAGAAAUCCGAGGUUUACAAGCUUUUUUUGGAAAGAGCUUUUCAAGCUAUUGGGGUCAGAACUGAACAUACCUUCCAAUUAUCUCCCGAAAAUAAAUGGUCAGAUAGAAUACUUUAAUGGGUUAUUAGAAGAAUACUUGUGACACUUUGUAUAGGCAAAUCAGAAGAAUUGACCCAACUUAUUAGAUGUGGCUCAACUAUGUUUCAAUUCACAGAAGAGCUCAGCCACUAAUAGAACCCCUUUCAAGGUUGUCACCAAGCAACAACCUAGACUUCCCCAUACCUCAGUGGAAUCAUAUAACGGGAAGAGUCCCCAAGCAUUCAACUUUACUAAAGAGUGGAGAUGAAACAUCGAAAUCGUUAGAGCCUAUUUAGAGAAAACCUUAAGUCACAUGAAGAAAUGGGAAGAUAAAGGUUGAAGGAAGCAACACAUUAAGGUGAGAGACUUAAUGUUGGUGAAAUUGGUACCCCGAACAACUUUGAUUCCUAAGAAAGAGGGAUCGAAGACUAGUAUGAAAGUAUAAAGGUCCAAUAUCAGUUAUAACCAAGAUAGGAAAGACUUCCUAUAGGAUUGAUCUACUAAAGUGGAUAAAGGUAUGCCUCGUGUUUCAUGUCAACAACCUGAAACUAUUCCAUGCAAAUCUAGUAGAUGCAAGCAAGAGUCGACCCACAAGAGUUGCCAUCAGCAUUAUGCCACGAUCAUAACGUCGAGUGGAGGAGAUUUUAGCAAGAAGGAUGAUGAUAAUCAACUGACGACCGAUUAGAUCACUAGAGAGAAGAAAAACAAUCUUCGUGCCUUUCAAUAGAAGAUUGAAGAAUUCUAAGCCAACCAGUCAACGAGGAUAACAACAAAUUGAGUGGGGGAGGAUGUCAUGAGCUAACCUUGUAUCGGACUAUGACAGGGUAGGGUUGUUUAAGAGAUUGAGUCUUUUGUACUUGUAAGGAAAAUGUCACCCUUUCAAACAUUGUAAUGGCUCAUGGUGACAUCUCUAAAAAUACUUGUUAAGUCUUUAGAAGGAAAAACCCUUUAGGAAUGGAAUGUUCUUAUUUUAAGCAUUGUAAUGGCUAUUGGUAGAACACUUUUAAAUCUUAUAAAUUCUUCACAAGGGGUGAGCAGUCGACUGAUUGUUAGACUGCCUUACUAGUAAAGGUAUGUAUGUAGUGAACCAUCUAGGGUGUCUCGACAAUGGUGUGUCUUGGUCCUUUUAUACUCAUUCUCAUAUUAGUAAAACAUUUUUCUUUAUAUGGCUCUAGUGGUUGCAUGUGUGGCAUUCGAUAUGCCCUAUUAUUUUGAUGUACAUUGCUCUAAUCUAAUUUAUGGCUAUUGUUGAUGUUUGUUCAGAUCUAGACGAGUUAUUGGUUGACUCGUGUGGAAGCGUCCACUUAAGCGUCGCAGAACUAUCACAUACUUAAUCGAAGGAGCAUAGUUCGUGACACCUUGCCUCAUUUUUCUUUCUUUUCUCAACUACAGACCGUCACUUUUCAUAGCAGAACCUCACCAUCGUUCAAACCACUACAGAGCCUCCGUAUCUUUACUGUGUAUCACUCACUCUUUCACCUUUACUUACAGUUCAUCGUCGCCGCAACCAUUGCACCUUAGAUCAAUCCUAAACCCUCUCAGUCUAUGCAAAAAUCAACUCUUAAACACUUUGAACUCCUAAACAACCAUUCUACCUUUACUCAUUCUUUUACCUCUUCCCACUCUCGAGCCUAAAUCGUCGGCUAAGGUUUCUUACUCGAGAACUAAAUAAACACGAUAUCUAUUGUUUAGGGUUUUCAUCACUCUCUUUUUCUUAUUGGUCCUUCAUAUACAAUUUUUUAUUCCGUUUGUAUAGCUAGCUACCUUUUCGGUUCUUUUUCUUAUUUUUUGAGUUCCCUUUUAAUCAUAUUUGUAUUUGAUUUUUGAUCUAUUUUUGCUAGGAGUGUGCAAUGGUCAGUUACAACUAGGCAAUUGACCAUAACCGUUGGUUGUUGUUGUAACCGUCGGUUAUGUUAAUUUGCUCGAUUGUCGGGGGGGACUCCCUCCCUUCUGAAUCAACCAAUUAAUCGAGGAUUCUUUCUUUUUUUUUUAAAGGGGAAAAGACACCCUUACCCUUCAUUAAACCCCCUCAACACAUCUACUAUUCUUUCCCUCAUGACCCCUUCUAAUUUUCACUUUGUUCUCUACCUCUCCCUUUCAUUCUAAACCCUAAACCAGUAGCCAAGUCACUUGGCUCUCUUCUAUUCUCCAACGAUGCUUCAUUAUCAUUCCAAAUUGCUGCCAACCACCUAUUUUAGCAAGGUAAACCAUAAAUUUUUUUUUGUUAUUGAUUUUGUGAAAAUAGCAAGAGAAAGAAAGCUUGAGAGAUUAUAAAUAUUUUUUUUUGGUUAAAAUUCAUGCUAGAGAGAAAAUAUGUUAGAGAUUAUGAAUAUGAUAUGUUGUUUUUUGCUUAAAAAAAUAAAUUAGUGCAAAUAAAAACAAUUCCAAGGGAUUAGAAAAAUGAUAGGCUUGAUUUUUUAAUUUUUGGGAAUUAAAUUUUUUUCUCAACUAUAGAUUAUUUCAACCUUAGUUGACAUUAAACAUUUCAAAGAGUUUUAUGUUUAGAAUUAUUGUUUGGAUAAUUACUUAAAAUGAUUUGAUGCUAGAAUUAAACAGUAAGAAUUAUGUUUGAGAAUUAAUGUUUAGAAUUAUUGUUUGGGUUUUUAAUUAAAAUGAUUGGUAAUAUGCUAGAAUUAAACAUUAAGAAUUAUGUUUGGGAAUUAAUGUUUAGAAUUACCGUUUGGAUAAUUAAUUAAAAUGAUUGGUAAUAUGCUCGAAUUAAAUAUUAAAAAUUAUGUUUGGGAAUUAAUAUUUAGAAUUAUUGUUUGGAUGUUAGAAUUAAACAUCAAGAAUUAGUUUGGGAAUUAAUGUUUAGAAUUAUUGUUUGGAUGUUAGAAUUAAACAUUAAGAAUUACGUUUGGGAAUUAAUGUUUAGAAUUAUUGUUUGGAUUUUUAAUUAAAAUGAUUGGCAAUAUGCUAGAAUUAAAUAGUAAAAAUUAUGUUUGGGAAUUAAUGCUUAAAAUUAUUGUUUGGAUUUUCAAUUAAAAUUAUUGACAAUGCUAGAAUUAAACAUUAAAAAUUAUGUUUGGGAAUUAAUGUUUAAAAUUAUUAUUUGAACUUUUAAUUUGGCAAUAUGCUAAAAUUAAACAUUGGAAUUAAUAUUUGGGUAUUACCUUUUAUUUUGUAGAUGUCAACUAAUGAGGAAACAAAUUUCACAACUAAUGAGACACCAACACCAACACCAUCAACAUCUACACCUCAUGUUAUUGGUAGUUCUACCAAAGUCAACAAAACAAUUGUAAGCAAAGUGCGGAAGCAAAGGGAGCCAUCUCAAUCUACAUCGAUUAUGGGAGAUCACUUCACCAAAUUUGUUGAUAAGCGGGGUAAUAAGAAGGCUAAAUGUGCUUAUUGUGGUAAAGAAUUGUGUGUUAGUACAAAAAAGAAUGGAACUUCUUCUUUGAACAAUCAUAUUAAAGUUUGUCCUAAGUUGAAACUGGUGUGUGAUAAUGAGGAGAACAAACAAAUGGAAUUAGUUUUUGCUUCAAGAAAGGAUGGGUUGGGUAGUUGAAAGUUUGAUCAAUAGGCAAUUAGGAAGAGACUAGCUGAAAUGAUCAUUUUAGAUGAAUUGCCUUUGAAGUUUAUGGAAAAUCCAGGAUAUAGGAAACACAUAAACAAAGUAUGUCCUAGAUUUUGUGUACCGUUACGAUGAACUGUUGCUAAGGAUUGUUAUAAGGUUUAUACUGAUAAACAAACUCGAAUGAAAAUAUUGUUAAAAUCAUGUUCUGGUAGAAUGUGUCUCACCACUGACACAUGGACUUUGAUACAAAUAAUUAAUUUUAUUUGUCUAACUGUCCAUUUUAUUGAUAAUGAUUGGAAGUUGCAAAAAAGAAAUUUGAAUUUUUGUUCAAUCACUAGUCACAAAGGUGAGGCCAUUGGUAAGGCAAUUAGUAAAUGUUUCUUUGAUUGGGGGAUCUAAAAGAUUUUUUCUAUCACUGUUAAUAAUGCUAGUUUAAAUGAUGUUCCAAUAGAACAUUUGAAGAAAAAAUUUAAUGUUGCUAGAACUAGUAUUUUAGGAGGCAGAUUUUUUCGUGUGAGAUGCAUUGCUCAUAUUGUUAAUCUUGUGGUUUCUGAUGGAUUGAAGGAAAUCAAUACUUCAAUUAUUUGUGUUAGAGGGGCAAUGAGAUAUGUUAGACAAUCCCAUACUAGAUUAGCUAAGUUUAAGGAGUGUGCUGCUAGUGUAGGAGUUGAGAGCAAGUGUUUAUUGUGUUUGGAUGUGAGCACUAGAUAAAAUUCUACUUUUUUUAUGUUGGAUACAGCUUUGAAAUUUUAGAAGGCUUUUGCAUCAUUUGAAUUAUGUGAUAAUAGCUACAUACUUGAGCUAAAAAGGUUGGGAGAUGGGGUGCCUGAUGACAGAGAUUAGGCAAAUGUGAGGAGGAUUUCUCGUUUCUUAAGAGGAUUUUAUGAUUUGACGUUUAGUGUUUCAAGCACAUCUUACAUAACUUCUAAUUCUUUUUUGGAUUCCAUUUCUGAUGUGUAUACCACUUUGAUUGAAUGGCAAAAUGAUGAUGAUAAUGUUGAUUUACAGUCUAUGGCAAUUAAGAUGAAAGAGAAAUUGACAAGUAUUGGGGGAAUGUGGACAAAAUGAAUUUGGUGUUAUUCAUUGCUAUUAUACUAAGCUUUCUUAUGUUGAAUUCACUUUGCUAGACAUGUAUCCUCUUACUCAAGCUUCAAUGAUGUUUUCUUUGGUGACACAAACAAUGGAUGAGUUGUUUCGUUGUUAUAGAAAUAUGUUACAACUUACUGCUCGUGAUGUUAGUGAAAGUGGUCAAGAGUGUCCAACUUCCAUGGGUUAAGGCACUAGUGGUGGUUGUAGUGAUAGUGUUGCUUUGACUUUGAUUGGUAAGGACACAAAACGUACUAAAAAAAGAUUGGAUAGGUUCAAGAAGCAUCGGUUAAACAUUGGGUCAAAAGAGGUGAAAACAGAAUUGGAGAAAUAUUUAUCUGAACUUGUAAAUGAUAGAGGUUUCUAUAAUGAUGAGUUUGAUGUUCUUAUGUGGUAGAAAACUUAAUCAAUUUAGAUUUCUUUUAUUUGUCGUUAAUCGUGAUGUUUUGGCUGUUUUCGUAUCAACAGUUGCUUUGGAAUCCACUUUUAGUACCGGUGGAUGUGUGCUUGAUGUAUAUAUGAGUUCUUUGACUCAUAAGGUCAUAUAAGCACGUAUUUGUGCUCAAGAUUAGUUACAUGGAUUGGCACGUGGUAAUUCGGAUUUGAUUGAAGAUGAUUUGGACGAGCUCGAUAAGCUUGAUUUUGAUAAUUAUUUUGUAAUUUUAUUUAUAAUUUAAUUUAUUAGAUUUGUUAAAGAUCAAUUUACCAUAUUUGUUAUUUUAUUUUUUAGAUUUGACUAAUAUUGUGUUGGAGAUAAUAGCUGAAUCUGAGCCUGAUUUUAGAUUUGACUAAUAUUGUGUUGGAGAUAAUAGCUGAAUCUGAGCCUGAGUUGGACUAACAUGUUAUUUCUAUUGGCCAUUAGCACUUUUCAGGUAAUGUUAUCAUUAAGUAUUAUGCAAUAUUUAUAUUACAUUUAUAAUUUAUUUAGGUUAUCUUACCACAAAAAUUUACACUAAUUAUAUAUUUUCUUUUAACCUUUUUAGGAGUAUGCUUUGCAAAAUUGUUGAAUUGAAGUUGAAGCCUUGGAGAUCCAUUUUUUGAAAUUUAGUAAUUUAUAUUAUGAAACUUUGAGUUGUUGAACCCUUAUUUAUUUAUUUAUUAUAUGAAGAUUAAUGUUAAUUUCUUUUAUGACCAUAUAUUUAAUUAUAGAACUUUUGAAACUAAUGUUUAUUUAUUAUAUAAAGAUUAAUAUUUAUUUAUUGUAUGAAGAUUAAUAUUAUUAAUUAUUUAAAAAAUAAAUAAAUAGAUGAAAAAAUUAUAUAUAAAUAAAUAGAUCCAAAAUAAUAAUUUAUAAGAAGUUACAUAAAAAAGCCCAAGUCAAACAAAAAAGGAAUCAUUUUGAACAAAAAGAAGCCCAACUUAAUCUCAAAUAGCCCAAGUCAACCCACUAUAAAAAUCGACUUGAAAUCGAUUGAACCAAAAUCAGUUAACACUGACCUCUAACAUGACUCUAUUUGAUUGGUUGGAAAAGGUUAUUUUUUUUUGUCAAUUUUAAGAAAAAUCGAACCAAAACCAUACUUAACCGACCUUUACUUUCCUCUAAUUUUUGUCUUAAUUAAUUGCAAGAAAUCUGUUUAAUCAACAUGGCUAAGUCUUGGGCUUGAAUUCUAAACUCACCAGACUCUUGAAACGAAAACCCUAACAAGACCCAAAAACCAUUUAAACCCCUUUCGAAUCUGGGCUUCAUAUUCAUAAAAAAUAAAUAAAAAUAAAAUGAAAUAAAAGUGAAAGUAAAUAAAAAUAAAAAAUAACAAUUUGAUUAAUUAAUUAAAUAGAUGACAAUAAUAAGAAACUGUUAUCUAUAAUAGCUCAUUGAGGGACAGGUAAUUUUUUUAUCCUGACUAAGUGGGUUCAGAACUACUACAUGUAGAUGAUGGAAUAUUGCUACGGACUCGAGUCAAUGCAAAAGACUUUUAUAUUUUGAAAUUUUUUAAAAAUAAAUAAUAUGGUUAAUCUAUCAAUAGUGAACUGUAUAAUUUGAAAAAAAUUAAUAUUAUUAGAUGAAUUUUUUGAGGUAACUGCCACGGUAAUGAUGAUGAUUUCUUUUUUUUUUUUUUUCUUUUAUUGACAAUUGAAAGCUCCCAUGGCCAGCCUUUUAGCCUACACGUGACAUGGCAAAAUGAGGGAACCUCUCUUAGGUAAGUUAUGGAAGAUUCUUGAGUGAGAAAGUCAGAAUAUUCUUUAUUAAUUAUUACUAAUAUUAUUUAGAAAGGUUUUAAUAGAGAUUUAGGGUUUCUAAAAUUAUUAUUUUUUAUCUUUUUAUUUGAAAAAGAAAAUGUAAAAAAAAUUAAAGAGCCCUUUUCUGUUUCAAGCUCUUCUAGCCAUGGCGUGAGUCUUGCCCCCCCCUUUUCUUUCAUUGUCCCUCUUUUCGAAAACACAGCUGGGAAAAUUAAAAUGUUUCAAAAAGAAACAAAACACUAUACGUAAAUUCUGCCUUACUUUUUUCUUGUACCUUUUCACUAAUCUGGAUUUUAAAGUGUUUCCUUUGACAAAAUUGCGUGUACAUUGUUUAGUUAUACUUACGGUUGGUGAAAUUUCUUGUGCAGAUUGUGUUGAGAAGGUUAAAUCCCGAAGAAAUUGAGUCUCCUUAAGCAUCGGAUAUGGUGAGUUUCGGCUUUUGAACUCCCAAGAGUUUUUUUUUUCUCCUUCAAAUUCUUAAACAUGAACUAUGGAUAAUUAGGGUAUAAGGUUUUUUUUUUUAAUCUGCUUUGUUAUUUAGAAAAUAAAAACUUCUUUUUUUUCUUUUUUGAUAAAAGGGGGAAAGGAGCCUUUUUAAACCUACAUUUUCACUAGAAAACUGGGAGUUUUUUUUUUUUCAUUUUUUUGAUCUUCUGCAACAAUUAAGUAGGGAAUUACGGUUCAUAUAUGAAAUGUGAUCUUUAAUUAUGUGCAUGCUUUUCUGUUUAUUUUAUUUUGGAUACAAUGGGCCUUGGUUUGGUGUUGAUUGCAGUCGGAUAUUAGGAAAUGGUUUAUGAAAGCGCAUGAUAAAGGCAAAGGCAAUGCCUCAAAGCCGGCAAACCCGGCACCAACCAAUACAGAUUCUGUGAGUAUAUCUUUUGCCAUUUCAUAUGUAUAUUUCUUCCUGUGUAAGAUUUCAGCACGGUUCUUUUGCUUAGGUUUUUGGCAAUAAUAUUGAAAAUUGAAUGAUAUCCAUGUAUUGCCAUCUGAAGAUUCUAUUUAGGUUGUUUCAUGAUUCUGUGAAGAAUUGCUGUGACUUGUUGUUUGGUUGCUGAGAGUACACUGAAAGGAAAAGGAAUAUCAUAUGACUGUAUUUUUGUUUUAUAAGGUCCAGUUGUGUACUUAGUUUCUUUAGUUUCUUUCCUGAAUGAGAAAAACUUUACAACCAAUUUUAAUAUACCGAGUUUAAAGAAAAGCAAGACAAAUAAAAAAGAGUUUAAAAUGAUAGCCUUUUAUGUUUUCCCUGGCUUUUUUAGCAACCAACCAACAAUAAAGUAACUGAGAUUUUGUUUUACUGUUUUAAAAUGAAAAUAAGCAUUUUUGUCACCAACAUGGGGAUGCUAUAUGUCACUUGAAAAGCUUUGAAUCAAGGAGUAAGUGAAGGGAGGGGUUUGCAUGAGUAAUUGAAGGCCCCUAUAGGGCCAAAUGCUAAUGUGUGGCUCAAUCUAUACAUAAUUGGCUGGAAGCAUAUGUUAAUUUUAGUACCUAGAGGAAAAUGACAAUGAAGAAAGCAUGAAUGGGCAGAUAUGAAUCUCCCUCUUUCCUCGUUCUUGGCCAAAAUUAUUCUUAAAAUGUUGGUCUAACUUAUGCUUAAAUGUUUCUUUCUCUAUCUGAUUUUUGUCAUUUGAAAUUUAUCAAGGUACCUGGAGGCCGAGAAAAUUCUGGCAGAAGGAAAACUAGCAAGUAUUUUCCUGCAGGAAAACAACAGCCAAAGGGUGAACAAGGAACGGAGGAACUUCCAGCCAAGAGAAAAGUUCAAAAUGAAAAUGAAAGUGUUGAAAAACCCCCACCUUCGAAGAAACCAAGCAAAGUUGGUAUUGAUGAUGACUUUGUUUUGCCCAAAUCAAGGAAUACUGUUGAUGUCACUCCCAGUAAGAAACGGAAGAGUGGUUCAGGAAGGGGUGUUGCACAAAAAGCUGAAGAUAAUGAUGAAAGUGAUGAAGAUGAUGCUAAGGACUUGGAGUCUCCUGUAAAGUCUGGUGGAAGGGGGGGUCGUGGUGGCACGGGUGCAUCAGUGGCACCAGCUAGUGGAAGGGGCAGAGGCCGUGGACGAGGUGGAUUUAUGAAUUUUGGAGAAAGGAAAGAUCCUCCUCAUAAAGGAGAGAAGGUGGAGCUAUAUUAGAAAUGUCUGAUUUAAUCAUAAUUGGAUCAGCAUGAAUAUUGGUUAACAAUGAAUUUCUGUUAUGUCAGGAAGUCCCUGAAGGUGCUCCUGAUUGCUUAGCUGGUCUAACUUUUGUAAUUAGUGGAACGCUUGACAGGUAUUUUAUUUGUUACUGAUAUUGACAUUCAAGUACUUAUUCCUCUUGCUCUCAUGUGUAAAACUAUUCUUGAUGCAUUUCUUCUCAGCAACAUGGAGCAAUAGACCAUAUUUUUCUACAAAGGGUUUUACUUACAAUUACAUUUUUUUUAAAUCUUUAUUUAUGGAUGAUUUUCCUUGAUGGAUCGGGCCUUCAUGGCAUCAUAAUCAUUGAACUUUUCCCUUACAGUUUAGAAAGAGAGGAAGCAGAGGACUUGAUCAAACGCCAUGGUGGUCGUAUUACUACAGCCGUCAGCAAAAAAACGGUUAUUCUAUUCUUAUACCUGAAGAUCUCUUCACUUCCGGUCCCAAUUUUGACAAGUGAUUAACAUUGUCCAUCUGCAGAAUUAUCUUUUAUGUGAUGAAGAUAUUGAGGGUCGAAAGUCCUCUAAAGCCAAAGAGCUUGGGUUUGUUGUCCCUCUUAUUGGAAAAUUUUAGUUUGAAUUCCUUAUUGCCCUGUUUCUUUUGUUUAAUCUUGGUUUUUAUUUCUUAUUGUAGCAUUCCUUUUCUCACUGAGGAUGGAUUGUUUGACAUGAUCCGUGCUUCAAAUUGCGGAAAAGCUCAUUCAAAAGAAGAGUCAAAAAAAUCUGCAGAAAGCUUUGCUGCAUCUCUACCUAAGAAGAGCCCCCAGAAAAUGGAAGUGAAGAGUAUGGCCCAAAUAAUGAUGCACUUUAGCUUCUGCUGCAUUUUUUUAGUGGUUGACCACAUAAUAGUAUAUAUAGUUGUUAUGACAUGACCUUUACUUACAAGUAGCAAGAUGGUGAAAUUUUGACUACUUACUUGCCAAAGGAUUUUAUUCUUGCCACUGGAUUUUGUUCUUGCCAUUCUUGUUUGUGUAAACUUUCAAUGAAGGUUGAUGAAAUGCCACUGUUAACUACUAUUUUACAAUGUGUAUAAUACAUUCUAGAGGUUAUGACUGGGUUUAUGGUGGUGCCAAACCUGGAGUUUGGUGUUAUUAUUAUAGGUUUUCCUUUUUUGUGUCCAUCCAUUUGUUUGCUGAUGGGGCUCAGCCAUGAUACCAAAGAAUCCUAUCUUUUUGUUUCAGCUCUUAUCCUUAAACUUAAUCUUGUUUAGAUGAUAUUCUCAUUUAUUUUGGUACUCUUUUAUAUGUCUGUACUUUUGCUGUAUAAUGGAUUCUGGAAUGUAGGCCUUAUUGCUUUUCAUACUUACUAUCUCAUAGUUCUUAGCUGAAUAAGUUCUUUCAUGGUUGACACAGGAAAACUGAAACAUGCCAAAAAUUUUGUAGAUCCAGCUUUCCAACUAGAAUAGAAGUAUAUGACUAUAUGAAACUAUAAGUUUGUAAGCUAGUUUUUUCUAUUUUAUUGUGAUUGUGGAGCUCUCUGAGAGGUCAGUUCUCCUUGUUUUCAAUGAUGAAGAACCCACUGAUACCCAUGUUUGUUAUGUUCCUGAUAUCAUUGCGAUUUCUAGUUUAACUAUUUAGAGUUACUAUUCAUACUAAUAAUAAAAGCCCUUUUCUGUUGAUAUGCAGUUUCCUUUUUUCACAUCUUUUUGAAAAAUGUUCAUGUUCUGACCAACAAUGCUUUGAACUGCUUGUGUAAUUUUACCUCUAUUAUUAUUAUUAUUAUCAUGCACAUGGAGCACACUGUUAUUUGCUGUUGCUACUUUUAGCAUAAUAAAUCUGCAGUUCAUAGCUUUGGAUAGAAAGGAAUCUUUAUAAUUGUAGUCCUUGAAUAUCCAAUGCAUUUAGUGAGUUCUUUUACUUGUAUCAAUAAUUCUUCUCCUUUUCCUUUGCUUGCCCGUUCUUAAAUGGUAGCCUUUUCUCUACUAUGGUCAUGCCAUCACUUUCUACUCUCCUGGUGUCCAAACUUGAUGGCUGAUCUAUCUAUUGUUUUCCACCUCUUGUAUCUUUUUUGUCUCUCAAACUGGAUAUGAAUCUUUGGCCACUUCUGUAUAUAGCUAGAUUUAUAUUCCAUUAUUCCAUGCUACUAAUAUAUUGCUGAAGAUUGUCAUCUUAUGUAACUUUCUGUGAAUUGUGCAUGUAGUUUCAUUUUUUAAUGAACUUUGAUUGCCAUUAUUUUUAGUUUAAACCAUUGUCUUUAACUAAUGCUGCUUCUUGCAUAGGCAACUCUUCAUCAGCAAAGAUAUCUGGUAAAAGUUUGACUACAAGUGUCUCAUCCACGAAGCAGAGAGGGCAACCAAUCCAGCAUUCAUCUCUGACAUGGACUGAAAAAUAUAGGCCAAAAGUUCCAAAUGAAAUGACUGGGAAUCAAUCAUUGGUAUUAGUUUCUACUCUGUCAUCCUUUAUCAGGAUAUGUUUUAACAUUAAUUUCUGUUUUCAGAAGGCUAGUGGUCAUCUUGCUCACUUUUCAUAAAAAACCACUGAUGUGGCACCUCAAAUUGGCCAUUGAUAUGGGUUAUUGACCUCCAAAUAUGAGGAAAAAUUUGGAGAAAAAAUUGUAUGCAUCCAUGUUGGAAUCAAAACCAUGUCCAAAAGUCCCGAGUCUGAGCAACAUAUGCUGGAAGCAUACUCAUUAUAAUCUCUUUUUGUCAUGGCUGCAGGUUAACCAACUUCACAAUUGGUUGGCACAUUGGAAUGAGCAAUUUCUUGGAACUGGAAGUAAGGGAAAGGGCAAAAAGCAAAAUGAUCCUGGUGCCAAAAAAGCUGUCCUAUUGAGUGGAACACCUGGCAUUGGGAAAACUACAUCAGCAAAGUUGGUUAGUCAGAUGCUAGGUUUCCAGACCAUUGAGGUGGAGUUUAUUUUACCAAAAUCAAUCUUGAUUAUUAGUUUAAGUUCAGAUUACAUUGCCCAAAACUAAAGUCUGCUGAUGUGUAUCCUGUAUGUGUCAUAUAGGUAAAUGCUAGUGAUAGUCGUGGGAAGGCUGAUGCCAAAAUUUCUAAAGGAAUUGGUGGAAGCAAUGCAAAUUCAAUAAAGGAACUUGUUAGCAAUGAAGCCUUGAGUGUUAACAUGGAUCGGUUUGUUUUCUGUUCUUAUGGAAUCUUUGUGUCAUUACAUAGGAAAUUUAUAAACCUUUUUCAAAUAUUUUCUCAGACAAGUUAAUUUUUUAAUGGAAAUUGCAGUUCAAAACAUGUAAAGACUGUCCUGAUCAUGGAUGAGGUGGAUGGCAUGUCUGCUGGUGAUAGAGGUGGAAUAGCUGAUCUUAUUGCCAGCAUAAAAAUUUCCAAAAUCCCAAUCAUUUGCAUCUGUAAUGACCGAUACAGUCAGAAACUGAAGAGUCUUGUGAACUAUUGCUUGCUUCUCAGUUUCCGUAAACCCACAAAACAACAGGUACAGUUUAUUAAACUUUUAUUUUUUCCUUUUGGAUAUUUUUUAUAGAUUUUUUUUUAUUAAAUUUCUGCCUAUCUUGCAGUUACUCAGAUCUAUGUGCUUACUAUCAUGUGGCUUCCAUCAUCCAAUUUUUUGUACCUGCUAUUGUCUUGGCUUUUAUCUUAUGCAGUAAGAUGUAGACAAAUUAUAUGAAGGGCUUUCAUAUCUGUAUUUUUGCUGCUGAUCCUCGAACAAAUCAUGAUACAACAACAACAACAAGCAGCAACAAGAAAACCUUUAUCUACUGCAUGGGAUUAAUCACAAGCCUUUUUUACAGAUCAAGAUACUUAAGUAAAACUUUUAAAAGUUUGAGAUGGUUUCUUGCUUGCCCUUUCAGAGUUUUUCCCCUGAUGUAAUGAGCUGAUUCAGUACCACAUUUUAGGGCCAGUAUGUGGCCUUUUUGUUUACUAAAACCAGUACACUUAAGCCUAUUUUUUAUAUUGUUCACAGCAUCAGGCCAGUACACUCAGAGUUCAGCCGUACUGGCAUGUUUUGGCCACAAUAGCUGAAAACUUUUUCCCCUGCCAAUAUCAAAAAAAAAAAAAAUCUCAUCAUAAUCCUGAAGAUUCAACACUAGAUCCAAAUAAACUCGUCAUUUUAAGAGUCACAGCUGUGAAUUAUCAGAGUUGAAAACAUGCAACUGUAGAAGCUCAAGAGUGAGUGCUCUGUUCUUUUUUUUUUUUUUUUUUCAUUUUUUGUCUGGGAUCUUGAAGUGCCCAGAUUUCUUAUUUGAUGAGCAUUGGAGGAAGAGGAAUGUAUUAUGUGAAGCCUUACUCUAGAGAUUUACCAGCAUCCCAAGUUUAGAGUAGCCAUGACUCCAAUUAUCCUCUUUUCUCUAAUUAAAAUAGGAAAAGAGACCCUUGCUUCACUCGAAAGAGAUAGAGAGAUAGAUUGGGCUGAUGUUUAUUCAAUGAAUUUUAAUCUCUGGCAUCUUUAUGUUGGUGUAUGUUCUGUUUUAAUGAAGAUGCUGAGGCCAUGAUUUGGCCUUGAUGCUGUAUGGGUUAUUUGAUUUUCACAGAAGCUUCAGAUUGUGGUAUCUAUUUUGAAAUAUGAAAGAGUUCACAUAUACUGCGUAGGAAAUGCAAUUUAGUCUAAGUAUCCUGUUUAUGUCAAUUGACUUAAACAAUCUCAGUUUAUCAACUAUUGUUAGUCCAAUUAUAUUUUGUUGGUUCUGUGAUCUGUUAAAUGAAGAGAAAACAUAAGUCUCUGUUACAUAAAUGUAUGUGCCUUUAUAUACCAAUAUGGUUAUGGGCAUGGGUUUGUGAAAAAAAAAAUACUAAUAUUUGUAGUGCUAUUGUGUAUAUUGUAUCUCCAUCCCUCCCUCUCCCCCCCUCCCAAAAAUGGAAAUUAAUUAAACUGCUGUCAGUAUGUAAGUUUCUCAUCAUUAUGCCAGUUUCUAACCCUGAAUUUUGUGCAUGGCAGAUGGCCAAGAGGUUGAUGCAAGUUGCAAAUGCAGAAGGUCUUCAAGUUAACGAGGUAAAAGUCACAUGGAGUGUAUGGUUUAAACUAUGAUGCAAUCAUGAUUUCAGAAUGGACUUAUUCAAUUCUUGCUCAUUGAACUUUUUAGUUCUCUCUCUCUCUCCCUCCUUUUUCUGGUUUGUCAUCCAUUUAAUUUUUGGAGAAAGUGUAAUCUAAUUGAAUUGGAGUUUUUUACUACUUUUUAAGUUGGAUAAAUUUACUUUUGGAAGCUGGACAUGUUUUUUUUCCCUUUUUGUAACCUUCGGCAGUCACUUUUAGUUAUGAGCUGCUGAUUUUGUUCUUAUAAUUAUACCGUUUGUUAACGUCAACUAAGAUCUUUUCCCUCCAUUCUCUCCUGACUCCCCCCCUCCCUUCCCGCUACACACACCCACACACAAAAAAACUAAACUUUUUUGUUUUUCCAGAUUGCUCUUCAGGAACUUGCAGAAAGAGUGAAUGGAGAUAUGCGCAUGGCCCUUAAUCAGCUGCAGUACAUGAGUCUGUCUAUGUCAGUCAUUAAGUAUGAUGAUAUAAGGCAGCGCCUUCUUAGCGGUUCCAAGGAUGAAGACAUUUCACCUUUCACAGCUGUUGAUAAGUAUGACUUCAGUGAUUAUAAGUUUAGUCAUACAGUGAUUAUAAGUUUUGCUGAGUGUUGCUGUUUGAUUUAUGUUUCUUGCAAAUGCUUCUCUUCAUGUCAUUUUUUUUUAUUAAAUGAACUUUAUGCUCUCUCUCUCUCUCUCUUUGUUUGAUCAUGAAGAGGAACGGCAUGUUAUCUUUGUUCCUAUGUUACUAAAUCAUCGAUUAACCUAUUCUAUUUCUCGGAUAAUAUUUCUCUUAGUCUUUCACACCCUUCUCAUUUCCAGUUACUAAAUGGUUUUGACAAGUGCAAAUUCUGCUUUUAUGAGUCUAAAAAUUCUUUUAAAAAAAUAAUCCAUCUUUGUCUGGUUUAUUGCUUUGGUGAUGUAAAUUGUAAAGUACAGAGUUUGGGUGCCUUAUGACUAUGCCUCCAUUAGGUUUGAUAUUAUUGGCUCAAGCAUUAUUUGUUCUGGAGUUUCAGAAUUUUUUUAUGUUUUUUUAUGGUCAAUCACUGAAAAAAUUCUGAUUGAAUUGAAAUAAGCUUUUUCCCUGUCAAUUGGGAAGUUCUUAAUUAUGAGGCAUUUGUAAAUAUUCAAUUAUGCUUGCAUACUUAAUGAUUAUUUGAAUUUUACCUCACUUGAAGCUCAUGGUAAACAAUAUGUUGUCUGUUAUUAACCUGUUUCUCCCUCCCCGUGCCCCCAUUUGAAUUUGUUGUCACUGUAGGCUUUUUGGCAUUUAUGGGGGAAAGUUGAGAAUGGACCAGCGAAUUGACCUGAGCAUGAGUGAUCCUGAUCUAGUUCCACUUCUUAUUCAGGUUGUGCUUUUUCUUGCUUGUCUCACCAUGUUUGGUUGCAAUUAUUGAAUUGUGAAAGAUUUUUAGAUCUUCUUAGAAACCUCAAACCCAUUAUGUGAAUGAUUUUGGGACUCUAAAUCUAUGAAAAAACUUAGAAAACCUUGGUGCCUGAGUUGGAAACUGGCUCCAUUUCCAUGUAAUGUAGCUCGAACGAUUUGAUUAUUUGUAAUGCUGAAGUAAUUCUUAGAACUUUGAAGACUAUUAAAUAAUAAUUGGAAGAUGUAGUAAAUCAAUUAAAGGUACAAUAGCUUCUCUAGAAAUGUUCCUUUUUUUUUUCAUUUUUUGGUGGGCUUUGCUCCAACCAUAGACACCACCCCAAAACCAAAAUAGCCCUCACAUCGGCAGUACCUAGGUCCUUGUUUACCAACUGGAGGAUAUUAUGUACAUUUUAGGUGGUGACCUUCCAAAAGUGCUUUCCAACUUAUGCAUGAUAUUGGGUUUGUAAGAAUUCCUUUUCAUCAUAUGGACCAUGUUGCUAAGGCAUCCAAACAGCUGAAUUUGAAGUCCUUAUCUCGGAAGUUGCAUACUUUACUCUUUCUUUGUCUAUGUUACUGUGACUGUACUUUUUGCAAGUGCAAUUGCAUUCUUUUGCCCUGCAAUUUUUUGAUUAAUUGUUUUUAUGUCUUUGUUUUGCCGGAAUCAUCUCCUAUUGUUGGAUACUUGCAUAUUUGGUGGCACAAAGUUAUCCAUUGCACAUGUCACAACUAAUUGCCAAUUAUUGUUCUAGGUGUGACUAGUUUUUUAUUAUAUGGCAGGAAAAUUAUAUCAAUUAUAGGCCGAGUUCAAUUGGUAAAGAUGACAGUGGGAUGAAACGUAUGAACUUAAUUGCCCAAGCUGCUGAGUCUAUUGGUGAUGGUGAUAUAAUCAAUGUGCAGAUUCGAAGAUAUCGACAGUGGCAGCUUUCGCAAGCUGGUUCCCUCUCAUCAUGCAUCAUUCCGUAUGUAUUGUAUUUUUUAGGCCUUAAACUAUCAAGAGCUCGUCAAAAUAUUUUUAUUUUUCUCUGAGUGAUAUUUUCCAAUAUUGUUUUGUUUAAUCAGUGCUGCAUUGUUACAUGGACAAAGGGAGACACUUGAACAGGUAAUGAGUGUUAUGAGUUAGGUUUCUUGAUACUAUUAUGACUUCUUCAUGCAUUUCCGUAAUUGUUUGUGUCUUGACAUUAGUCUUUUUGUUUUUUAAAAAUCAAUUUCUUACUGUAUGCUUCUUCAAGGUUUGCAAGUACCAUAUGGAAGCUGUUCUUGACCUUUAUAUUCUAUGCGUACAUCAUUUUUUCAUGCAAAAUAUUGAAGCAUUCUAUGUCCUUUCUAGAAGCCUGCUCAUGGCUAGCUCAUUCUUUAUGCUUUGGUGAUUGAUAUGGUUAUCAGGCUUUAUCUUGUUCUCGUAGUUCAACUCACUAGCUUGAUACUGCCUUGCUAAAAUGUCAAAUAAACUUUCCUAUCUUGUCAGAAUAUUUAAUUAAACUAUGACUAUUUUUACUACAAUUUUACAAUUAUUUAGUCACAACAACAAUGGAUGUCGGUCAUCAACUUGUCAGUCUGGACUCCGUAUAAUGUUCUACGGGACCCUACACAAUUUGUGAUUAUGAUUGGACAAUUGGAGUGCAAUAAUUGCUGAUGAUGUUCUCUGUUUUGUUUCAUUGAGUUCAAUUUGAAUCCUCCUACUUCAUUUUUGUUGAAGGGAGUCCAAUUCAUAAAAAGUUAGAGAUUAUGACUGAUGCCACUGCCACUAUCUUCUGAGCUAGUGAGUGAGUCUGUGUGUGUGAGUUUAUUAUUCUCUUCACAUCAGAGCCAUCAUGUACUUGACCACAGUUGCUUAAAAACCUUCUUUCAGAACAACCAAACCUGUCGAUUAUACCCUUGAAAUUCACAAUUAAACCAACACAAUUACAUACAGCUACCCCUAUUCUGGCCCCUAAAAAAAACCCCACCCCUAAAAGAAUGUGACAUCAAAAUUACUCUAAUCUAGCUCUAAUGCACUAGAACAGAACCUAGCUAAACAAUCAAGAAAAUUUAACAUCAAUAACUGUAAUGCCCAUGUCAUAAAACCUAGUUUAUCACAACUAACAGAAUUGAAGAGGGGUGAUGAUUCAAUCACCAAUUACGCUUUGCAAUUUUGCCUUAGGGGAAGCUGAGUCUCAAUUCACAAGUUAAGAAAAAAAGGAAGUGUUGGGGGGGGGGGGGGGGGUGUAUUGAGGAGAGAGAGGAUGAAAAUAGUAAUAAAAUGGGAAAGACAGAAGAAAAUAUUAUUUUGGCCAAUCUGCUUUGGUGGCUUCUUUGAGCUUAAUAUUUCACCUUCCUUAAUUGUCUUCAUGGAUCUCUAUAUGGUAGGCAGUGUUCAGUGUGUUAAAAUUCAAUGAAAUUACUACCACAUACCUCUCCAAAUUGCCUCUAUUAGGAUGAACAAUUCGAAGCUCAUUGCAUUUUCCUGCUCGGAUGCUCGAGUAGAACAUGCAGUAAUGAAGCUUACUUUGUGCCAAUGCAAUUUUGUUUAGAAUGAUGAUAUCAUGUUGAAAUUUAGAUAUGUCCUAAUAUUCAAGGCUGGCUUCACAACUGCAGGGAGAACGGAAUUUUAAUAGAUUCGGCGGGUGGCUAGGGAAGAAUUCAACUAUGAGUAAAAAUUAUAGGCUUUUGGAGGAUUUGCAUGUUCAUAUUCUUGCUUCUCGUGAAUCUAGUUCAGGAAGGUAAUUCUUCUGUUUUAUGAACUUUUCCAUCAUAAUGUGUUUUUAACAUGUCAGGUUCUUUGUAUGCAGUAGACUAUUUAAAGCAUGUAAGCAUUACUUAAAUUUCUUAUGGCUUAAAUAACAAAAAGCCCCUGAACUAUGUCUGGUUAUGCAACUGAACCUCUAUAUUUUUAUUGUCCCCAAAAGAAACCCUUAUCCUUUGAUUUGUAUGAAAAAACCCCUAUUCUUUUACUAUACCCAAACAAGUCCUUUAUCUGUAACAGAAAAUUAACGGCUGUCAGACCUAAUACUAGUUGGUAUUUUCUUUUCAUGUGAUAGUAGAGUGGGCCAUGUCAUAUGCCAUGUGGAUGGUGUGGAAGGGGAAAAUGUAAAAAAUCCACCUCAGCUGCCAUGGGGUAACAUCAUAUGCCGUGUGGUCAGAAAAUCUCAGCUAGUAUUGGGUCUGAUGGUUGUUAAUUUUCCGUUAUGGAUUAAGGGCUUGUGUGGGCACAAUAAAAAAAAUAGGGCUUUUUUGGGUGCAUAUCAAAGGAUAAAGGCUUCUUUUGGAUACAAUAAAAGUAUAGGGGCUUAGUUGCAUAAACUGACAUAGUUUAGGGUUUUUUUUUUUUGUUAUUUAAGCCAUUUUUAUUCAUAUUCCCUACUGAUCCAUGACUUGAUCUUUGGUAAAUGAUAAACUAGCCGCAUGCUUGAGUUGUUGUUAAUGAUAUCUUCUCUCAUCAUUUUGCAUUUAUGUAGACCUUUUUGACAGAUAAACUAACUGAAGUAGAGUGCCAAAUACUGAAGUCUGACAUGGUCUACUUUCCCAUGCAGCUGUUAACAUACUAAGAUGUGCUAAUGUAGAUGUUUAAAUGUCAUCAGUUUUAUAUGCUAACAAGAUGAGUAAAUUAAGCAAUUGUGAUAAAGACCAAUAUGUUGACAUACUUGUUUAAAAAAAUGCAUUUCCUAAUCUAGUUGGGUCAAUAAUUUUGAGGAAACGGAGCUGAUUGACAUUAUUGUCAUCAAUUGUUUUUGUUCAAAGAUCUGCUCUGCUGCUAGUUAAAUUAAUUUAUAGGCAUUUUCUAUCGAUCUUUGAAGUCUUAUGAUUUCAAGAGAGAUGGAAAGGGAGAAAUGAAGAACUCAUUUUGCAUGCAUUUGCAUACGUGUCUGCAUUCAUGUGUGUGAAUCUAUGCAUAUAGAUUGUUGCAUGAGCCACAGCCUUCAUAAAAGUUGUUUUGUUCAUUGAUACGAACCAUUGGGGGAUAGCUAAAGAAAAUGACACUUGUCCUAGCUCUCAUGGAAUUUCAAUUAUUUCUUCAUAUACUAUGGGGUCUUAUUUCUCAUUUUGAUUACCUUUUCUUUGUUAAUGUAUCCUUUUUAAGUUGAACAGUGUUUUUGUUGUUGUAAAUGAUACAGAGAGACUCUUCGACUUGAUUACCUUACAGUUCUUCUGACACAAUUGACUAAUCCGCUUCGAGACAAGCCUAAGGUUCGGAACUUACAUUUUAAAUUAGUAUAUUGUAAGCAUUGUGUGACCCAAGGCAGGCCAUAUGUGCUGUUGCAAGUUAUGGUGUCCUCAAGAGGCCCGCAUGUUUGAGUGAGGUGUAUUGAAUUACAUGUUUUUUGUAACUCUGCUGAAGCAAAUAGAGAUGUAAGACUAGGGUGUUUGCUAGUGGUUGUUGUAUCACCUAAUUUAUUCAAUGACUCUUAUUAAGUAGGCAUUAACCUAGUGUUAUUUUACUUUGCCUUUCUGAAAUAUAUAAAAGCAAAUCAUCAUCUCUUUGUUCUCCAGUGGUUUUAUUCCUUUUAAAGGAAAGAAGAGAGAAUUCUUCCCUUGCUUAUGUUACUCUGUCUGCCCUUUCUCCUCUCCAAAUAUUCCUCUAGCUCCUUUCUUUGUUGGAUAUGUGUGUUGGGAGAUGGGUGGAAUGGGGAGGUGUUAUGUUAAUGCUCUUCACCUUUUGAUCUGUAUCCCUUUAGUCUGAAUUUUGUUUAUCAGAACCCUUGACCAUCUCCCAUUUUGCUCUCUACUGCAUAUUUAUUUUAUUUUAUUUUUCCUCUUAUGCGUAAUGCCUGAUUUUUGGGCCUGAAGCAUUAUAUCUCUUGUUCGCCUUGUACCUGUGCCUUCUCCUGUUUCCCUAUUUUCUUAUAUUUUGUUUCUGUUCUUCUGUUUAUCUUAGUGCACGUAUGUGCAUACAAAUGUCUGGAUGUGUUUGCAGUUGGCCUUUGUGCCUUAUGAGUGCCUUAGAUGUGAGAGGUUGCUGUUUUAAAUUUUUUCAUAUUUUCUUCUUCAUGGACCAGGAUGAAGCUGUUAAGCAGGUUGUUGAGUUUAUGAAUGCUUACUCAAUAAGCCAGGAGGAUUUUGAUACGGUUGUUGAGUUAUCUAAAUUCCAGGUACCCUCUACUUCUAUAGCCUAUAUAACAUACGUAGCUUCAUUUUCUGUUGUGUUUCCAACAUACUUUUUUUUUUUUUUCUGAAUAAUUGUGCUCAGGGGCAAUCAAAUCCACUGGAAGGCAUUCCAGCAGCUGUCAAAGCAGCUCUGACAAAAGCAUACAAUGAAGGAAGCAAGACACAAAUGGUACGAGCUGCGGAUUUAGUAACUCUUCCUGGAAUGAAAAAGGCCCCUAAGAAGCGAAUUGCUGCAAUACUAGAACCAUCAGAUGAUGUAUUAGGGGAGGAGAAUGGUGACACAUUGCCUGAAAGUGAAGAGAAGUCUUCAGACACAGAGGACUUGGGUAAAAAUUUGAUUUUAAUAUUGGUGUUAAUUAAUUUCCUUUAUUUCAUUGCUGUUUUGCAUUGCACUCAUCAAUUAUAUCUCUCAGUUAUCUGUUUAGCACAGUUAAUGUGGCACUUGUUUUUACUGUCUUUUAACAUGAUAGAAUCUUGAUAAAGGUCUACUAUUUGAUUCUAAGAAAAUAACUCAUCAACACUAAAAAUUAAAAAUAGAAAUAUGCAUGCAUUUGAAUCUACUAAAGUGGCAGGAGAAAUAUGUUGUACUGCAUUGUACUAGUUCUCGAGACAUUGAAAAUCCAAUUUGCUGGGCAAGGACCCAGGAUUUCCCAUUGGAUCAGGGAAACUUGUGAUGCUAACAUUAAAGUGGAAGAAAGAAGUUUCUUAGUGAGGGUGCAGAAAGUCUUGUCUAAAGUGAGGUUUUUUUUUUUUUUUUUUCCUGUUAUCAAUAUGGAGGUCUGCUAGGCCUUGAGCAUUCUAUGGGUGGUAGCUGUCUCCCAUCUCAUAAACCUUAUCCUCCCUUUCCAAGUUUCUAACUUGACAUCUCAAGAUAAAUUCUAACUAUUUACAUUUUCCUUUUCCCAUCCCAUAAAACCCACCAUAACUACUCUCGUUGCCUAAACCUUAUCUCUCCUUCCCAUGGUUUGAACUUGAGUUUUCAAAUUGGAAGUCUCAUACACUCCAGCCCCCUUUCUUAAGGUAUAAACUUGACUUUGAUGUUGGAAGUCCUAAGAUCUAAUAAGUAGGGGAUUAUUUUGAAGUCUUCUGUGAUAAGUGGAACACAACCAGUGAGCUGUAACAACCAAGGACUUGAAUAGUUGUCUCAAAAAGGCAAAAAAUAAAAAAUAAAAAAAUAAAAAUAAAAAAGGGAACAUAUACAGUUUUCUGGUUGUUAUAUUUUCGGACAAAUAUCUGAAUGUGUACUAUUCAUUUCAUUCAUUAAUUAUGUUUAUGCCUUUUCUUUUGGCACAACAGAAGGAACUACCGAUGGUGAGACGCUGCGGGCAGAACUUCAGAGUCUGAACUCCAAAGGUUGCUGCCUUUGUCUCAGCCUUCUGUUUUUUAAUCAAGAGUGAUUAUUCGAUAUAUAUUCGUUCCUGUUGUACCAGUUAAUUGUUUUUAAUAUUUUGCCUUAUUUUCCCUAGGAAUUGAAGUACAAAUGGAGUUGAAAGGGACAGGGAAUUCAAGUGCUAAGAAGGCACCAGCUGGUAGAGGAAGAGGUGGUAAGGGUGCUUCAGGAUCUGCUGAAAAGAAAGGUGGGCGUGGUUCAGGGGCAGGAGCAAAGAGAAAAAGAUGAGAAGCGAGUAUAGGGUGGACAUUCUACAAUUUUGGCGUUGUUUAUAUAACCAGUGUAAGGAGCAUGUCACUCCACAACUUAUAACUCUUUUAGGAUGGUGAGUGAGGAUUGUAGUUGGAUUCCUUGGUGUAAGUAGCGUAGAGGAUAUCAUUCCCAUGAUUGAUGCAUAACAAUCUUGGGCAUUUUGAGUAUGUUAUGGGAAUGCUGAGUUGCCCAUUAAACCUUCCCUUUGGAUGAAGCCUAGUCCUAUUGCAUGCCAAUUAUUCUGGUGUUAUUUGCUUUCUCUUUGUCAAUUAUCUUUAUCUUGCAAAUAGCUUAAACUCAAAUAUAGAUUACGCCAAUCACUUUUAUCUUAUAACAUGAGCAUAAAUAUAUAUAUAUAUAGAAAUAUGUACACUUUUCAUCAAUGAAAGUGAAGCAAAUUCUAAGAAUUUGUAACCUGACUCAUGCGCUGCUAUGCUAUCUAUACUCUUUCACCACUUAACUUUAAGAAUAUCAAUUAAUUUUCCAUUCUAAACUAAUAUUGCGUAUUACAAAGUAUUGGAACUCAAGCUUCAUAUUGAACACAGUUUCCCUCAACAAAUAAAAUGGCAAUUAAGAAACCUAAUUUUAAAUCUAAGCGUACAUAUGUCUUCAUUACAAUCUCUAUGGGUUGGGCUAAUAUAGUACGUAAGCUAGAAUAUUGUUUAAUGAUGUUCAAACAGCUAUAACCUUAUGCAAACAAGUGAAUUAAAUUUAUUAUGACUUAUUCCAGAAUCAAUUAAAUUUAAUUAAUAUAUGUAAUUCACUAUAAAGUCGAAACUUUAUUAUAAGAAAGUAAAAAUUAAAGCAUGUAUUAUAUUUGGUGGUUAUAUCAGGAAAUUAAAAAAAAAAAAUUGUCUUAUUAAAAAUAAAAAAAAUCUCCACAAAUGAAUAGUUUGAGACCUUAUAUUAUAUAUUAUAAAUUAAUUUUUCAAAGCAUUAUAAAUUGGUUAGUAUAGAUUUCCUAAUAUAGUUUUCAAGGAUAUGUGCUACAAUUUCAUUUUGAUAAAAGGAAAAUCAUUUUAAAGCUUGUAUUUAUUAUUGUUUUGAUUUUAAAUAAUCCUUGUAUGAAUAGAAGUAGAAUGAUUUUAAACAAUUUUUGUACAAGUCGAAGUAGAAGAAAGGAUAUGAGCUACUAGGAAUGUUAUGCCGGUACAUAUAUUCCAUUUCCAAACUUAUUCUUCCUAAUUUCAAUUUUAGUUUUUUUUUUCCUUUGAUACAAAUCUAUUCAUCCAAAUUCAUAUGAGAAAAAUUUUUUUCACAAGAAAAUACGAAUAAAAAGCUCGAGAUCAUGGGUACGCAGGACAGAGUCAAUGAUUGUAUCAAUGUGAUUAGUCUUGAUAAUGAGAGAAUAUUCAAGAAAUUGUAUCAAAUUGUCCCCAAACAAAUAUCUGAUGUAACCUCCAAACAGAAUUUUGAUGAUAAAGUCAUUUCAAGCCAAGGAGUGAAGAUAAAAUUUAGAGCAUGUUAUCUUCCAAAAGACAAUGAGUUGAAGCCUUUAGAAGAGGAUGUAUGUUUUAUUUGCUACGAGGAACAAACAUUGGUUGUGGCUGAUGGUGUUGGAGGAUGAGCAGCCAAGGACGUGGAUGCAGGCGAAUAUGCUCGAGAACUGAUGGCUAAUGCCAUCAUUGGUGUCUAUGAAGAGCAUAUGCUUAAGGGAAGUGUUGAUCUUGGGAAAGUGAAGCUUACUUCCAUAUCAAGGUUGAAGGAUUAUCGACGGCCUGUAUUCUCGAGUUUAUGUGGGGAACAGUGGGUUCAUGAUGUUUAGGGAUACAAAAUUGGUCUAUCGAUCACCCAUUCAACAACGUGAUUACAACUAUCUUUAUCAAUUGAGAAGUGGCGAAAUUAGUGAUGGACCUGAUAAUGACAACAGAGUUAUUUGUGAGGGUGGAGGCAGGGGACAUAAUCAUUCUUGACAUCGAUGGACUGCUUGAUAACUUGCAUCCAACUAAGAUGGAGGAAAUCUUGAAGCGUGCGACAAAGGAACAAGAACAAAGAGUUUGAGAAGAUAGCAUUGUUGAUAGCAAAGUAUGCGUUGUACAACUCGUUCGACAAGUUUGUGCUCUCUCCAUUUGCAGAAGCUGCAAAAAAGGCAGGACUCAAUCAUAUGGGAGGCAAGGUAGAUAACAUUACAGUUGUUGUAGGAAUCAUUCAAUCUUAAGAGGCUGCAGCUGGACUGCUUUCAUCCUUCUCAUUCUCUUGUAUCAUGGCUUCAUUAUUUACUAUUUUUUCUUUUUGUACUACUACAAUUGUUAUGGUGAGUUGGUCUAUAAAUUGGUUAGCCAUGUCACUUGUAAGACAGUAUACAAGUAAUACUCCCUCUAUCUCAUUUACAGUGAUGGAUCUACAAUUUCGUAUGAGGAGUGGUUGAAGAGUAAUCAUAUAAAGUAAUGGAUUGAGUCAAUAAUUCGAUUCAAAACAAAAAAAUUAAUCACUUUUGAAAUAAAAUUAAAUUAUAACAUAAAAUUUCAUUAAGAAUUUAAAUAUAAGUUUUCAGAUUCACUAAAAUAAAUAGAUAUAAAAUAUAAGAAAAAAUUAGCAUUAAAUAGACAUUCAUAAUUGACGUGUCAAGAAUGGGAAGGUCAUCAUUGUCUUGUUGAGAUCUUUUCUUAAAGUAAGAAUCAAUUUUGAAUUAAUCAUGAUAAGCUCAAUUUAUACUUAUUUAAUUUGAAAAAAUAAGAUAAGAUUAUUAAAAUUUUCUAAAUAUUUUAAUCACAUUCUUGUUUAGUUUUUCAUGUCAACAUAUGACAUAUUGCAUAAGUGUUCACAUCAAAUCAAUAGAUUGUGAGAAAAGUUAAAGAAAAAAAUAUACUCUUUAGGUAGUUAAGAAGCGCUCAAAUUGAAUUAAUAGAUUGUAAGAAAAAUCAAAGUAAAAAGUUAUACUCUUUAGGUAGUUAAGGUCAUUAAGCAAUGCAUCUUUUACUUCAUAGGACAAAAAAAAAAAAAAUACAUAUGCUGCAUAAGUGUUCAAAUUGAAUCAAUGGAUUGUACAAAAAACCAACGUAUAAAAUUACAUUUUUUAGGCAAUUAAGUAAUGCAUAUUUUACUCCACAGGACCAAGGAAAAUACAUGUUAAAGCCAAAUCCUCCAAAUUGGUUUAAAAAGGAAAAAAGAGCAAAAAAAAAAAAAAGAUAUCCAAAUUGGUUUAAAAAGGAAAAAAGAGCAAAAAAAAAAAAAGAAAUCCAAAUUGGUUUUAAAAAUAAGGGAAAAAGAGAAAAAAAGAAAAAAUAAUUCCAAAAAGAGCAAAAAAAAAAGAAAAGAAAUCCAAAUUGGUUUAAAAAAGAAGGAAAAAAAGAGAAAAAAAUCUAAAUUGGUUUAAAAAAGAAGAAAAAAAUAGGGAAAAAAAGAAAACAAAAUUUCAAAAUUUGGAUCUAGAAAGACUUGUUGAAAAUUAACUUAAAUUCCUUACCACUACUCCAAAGCAAUUCAUUAAAUUUAUUUAAAGGUGACGAAGUUAGAUAUUUUUAAUAUUAUAACCACAAAAAUUAAAAAAUUAAAAAUUGAGAGGUCGCAACCGUCACUGGCCUGCUCACUUAUUUUAUGUUCCCACAAAUUUAUGUUUUUCUGAUAAAACUUUUUUAAUUGAAGUUUAUCAUUGAAAACUGAAAAAUUUAGCAAGUUUGGGUUGGUAGAUUCUACCUUAUGCUGUUGUAGAAAAGAUGGCUGCAUUAUUGAAAGUAAUAGCUGAUAUACCUUGUUGUCCACUAAAGCAUAUGACAUGAAAUCCUUGGCGUUUUGGAUAGCAAUACCAACUUGGGUUAAGCAUGUGUGAUUCACAACAUAGCCCCAAUCAUAUAAAAGAUUAUUGAAAAAGUAUUUAUAAGACUAAACAAGUAUCUAAAAUUCAAUAACAUAUGUGUAAUAUUUUAGUAACUUAAAUUAUUAAAAUCACAUAUAAGGUUGCUGAAAAUGUAUUGCAAUAAAUUGUAUUGGCAUCAUUUACCAACACAAAACAUAUAAAAUAAUUAUCAUUUUCAUAUCAUAUCCUUGACCUCAAUUUCAUUCAUAAUCUUUUUUUAAGGCAAUUUUAAGCUUUCAUUGAUGAAAGUAAAUAAGAAAAUAAGCCACCAAGGUGCUCUAGGGAUCAAAAUAGGUCCCUGAAACCCCUUCUUCUAAUUAAUCAUUUAUAGCUCAAAAGCACCCCAUAAACAUCCCAGUACGACUAGAUUUUAACACAAUAUCUACAGCAGAAAUGAUCAAUUCACACUGCCCUAACAACCUUGCCUGUUCGAAGAGAUAGGCCGCAGCAGCAGACAAAUAACAGCCUAGCAAUAGAUGGAACCCAUACCUAAUACAAAAUGCACAUCAUCAGCAUAAUUCAAACUCCCCAAAGACCUGAUCCUCAGUGACGAUUGGAAACAAAAAUAGGGUCCCAUCCUAUGUACCAUAUUAGUUGCAAUCCCACCAAAACAUUCCUAGGCAGCAUAGCUGAUGUUGAUGUAUUUUCAAAAUCAAAAGUUAUAUCACAUAAUGAAAAACUAUUUUAGUUCAGAGGUUAUGUCAUAUAAAGUGAUGUAGUGUGACUAUUGGAUUGUAGAUAGGUUUAUGUGAAUGGUUAUGUUUUUUAGUAAAAUGACAUCUAAUGGUUAUGAGACAAAUUGAAAAAAACACCAUAGCUUAAAAGUUUAAAUAUGAAAAGUUAUUGUUUCAAAUUAUAAGUUAAAGAUUAUGUUUUAUGGAAUGAAUGGUUGUCUUUUUAUAAGAUGAUUAUUAAAAUAUUACCUUUAUCUAAAGGUUGUGUCUUGCAAUAUGUAAAGAUGUCUUUUAGACAAAGUGAUGCUUUAAUGAAAGGGUUGUGCCCUUGAAGAAGAGACACUUGCAAGUCUAUAUAAAGGGCUUGUUGUCAACUAUUUUGACACAUCAAAUCAAAAACAAAACAAGAGCAGAAAAAUCAAGAGUAAGAAAAGUGCUGUGUUCUAUUAACAUAAACACUUAAAUUUUCAUCAACUAUAAAAGCGUCCAAAUUCCUUAUAAUCUACUUGCUAUAGAAAGUAGACUCUAAGAUCGAACAACUUUGCAAACUCUCAUAAAGUGUAAGAUGAAGUUAGACGUUAGUUUCAUUGUAUCCCUAAAACUAUUCGCAUUAUGCCCCUUUGCAUAUAGAGUGGUGGGAUGAAAUAAAUCUUAAAAAUAGCAUCUAUUGAAAGGCUCACCUUAAAGUCAAUUUUGUCGAUUCUUUAAAUUCCAUUUAAGCCCCAUUUGCACCAAUAGCUGAUCAUGGCAUUCAAGUCUCUAGUGGUAGCUUAUAUUAGCUGCAGAAUUGACAAUAAGAGCUUGGACCCAGCCACCAGCACUAACAUCACCUCCACACCAAUUACAAGACAUCCAAAAUAUAUCCCAUGGACAUAACAUAGCUUAAGGGAAAGAUAAUUCUGAAAACAAAAGGCAAACCAAUCUAGCACGGCAAUCUUCAUUCAUAAUUAAAACCAUCAUAUAUAGUUACCAAAAUUUGAUGGCACCAAUAGUUCAAUAUUGACAUGCAUUUAAAUAUAUAAAAUAUAUAUAUAUAUAUUUACAAAUCCAGUAAACAACAUUAUUUUACAAAACAAUAUAUUUUGUACAAGAAAUAAAAAAAAAAACAAGAACUAUGUACUAAGAAGAAAAAAGUUUUCCCCAAGAAAAUGGAAUUCUUCAAUCUCAAAUGUUAAAUGCAAAGUGCUUUGAGCAACUUAAGAUAACAAAGCAUAGUUAUGGUAAUAUAUCUUGAUGGCCUGAUGGGCACUAAGAUUAUAUAUGAACCAAAAGAGUUCAAUUUCAUAAAUUAGUUAAUAUGAUUCACUACAAUCAACACAAAGAUUUUCCUUCAAGACUUGGUUUCCACAUUCAUUUAUCCAUCUUUGUCUACCCAAAAAGGUCAUGUUAGCAGUGCAGGGUGUUUUGUAAGUAGAGAGCUGAUGGUCAUGAGGCCUCUCCAUCAGGCUUUGGUAGCCAACUCCAUACAACCAAUGAGCCAGUUGCAUCCUUUGUGAAGAAAAUACCAUAUGGCCCUCUUGGAACCACUCUUACUUCUCGUUUUGAAAAUGAUCUGCCCCUCUCCAUGAACCUGUAACACAAAAAUUAAGUUCAUUAAUCAGUAUUAUUUCAUACAAGGAACUUUUAAGCCAAAAAGAUUCCCUCACUCUUGUAAUGGAAACAUGAAGAGAUAUACUCACGAUGGCAACUCAUUUAGGUGAAUAGUGUUGUCAUUGUAAGAGCAGAAUAAAACUGGUUUCAUUUUAGCGUGUUCAUACCAUAAAGUGUGAGCACACCUUGAAAUCAAAAGUCCAUAUAAAGAAAUUGGAAGUCCGUGUUCUACGCCUAGACUCUAUAAGGAAAAAAGCAUAUAUAUAUGCAUGUUCUUUAUAUAUAUAAAAAAAAGACUAAGGCCAACUGAUGAGCCAAUUCCAUCAUGUAAUUUUAUGGAGCUAUAAUUCCAUUUCUACAAAGAUAAGAGACACGUCAUUUGCAUUACUACAAUUUUAGUUCUUGUUCCUCAAUCUUUCAAAUUUGUGGUGUUCAAACUCCAACAUUAUUUGCUGUAAAGUUGCUCUCUCAGCCUACCUUGGAAGACUUAAGUUCUUACGAAUGUUACUCAUACGUUAAUUCCACUUUAAAAACCUAAGCACAAUUUUUUGCAUAAAAAAAAAUCCAAUCGACUAGAUGAAACAUGAAUUGCUUUCUUACGUCAUAGUUCAUACAAGGUCAACAUGAAGUCAUUCCUCAUUUAAUACUCAUAUCAUUGUUGUAACUUUGUAAAUGAACAUAUAAAAGCUGAGAAAGAAACAUAGAUGGAUUAUUAAUGUUCCUAUAGACAAAAGAAGUAAAAGAAAAACAAGACAUACAUUUUCCUCAUUAUGAGUAUAGAUCACUUCCUAAGAUGUUAUUCUUCGUAUAAAAAUAAUGAGAGACAAUAAUGACCUAACAUUGUCUUAAUCUUAUUACAUUGAAAAGAUUGUAAUAAAGUAUGGUAAGUCAAAUUGUAUACCAAUGUCUACGCCUUAUAUUCUAAUCUAAGGCUAGUAUCCAACAAAAAUAAGCCGACAGCACAAAUGAAUAUGCCAAGGUGAUUAUAUGUCUAAUGUAUGCUAUGGUGUGUACAAGGUCCGACAUUGCUUUUUCAGAUGGGAUGCUAAGCCGGUUUACAAGUAAUCCAAGUAAAAACCAUUGAUAUGUUGUUCAUAGAGUUCUAAGGUACUUAAAGAGUACAAUGAAUUAUGGCAUUUAUUAUUCAGAUUUUUCUUUAGUUUUUGAAGCGUAUAUAGAUGCUAGUUUGAACUCAAAUAAAACGGAUCAUACUUCUAUGACUGGUUAGGUUUUUACAAUUGGUGGGGGUGUUGUUUCUUAGGAUUUUAAGAAACAAUCUUGUCAAAUGAAAUCUACCAUGGUAGUUGAAUUUGUAGCUUUAGCAUCUGUCACCCAAGAAACGGAAUGGUUAAGAGAUUUACUUUAUGAAAUUUCAUUUUGGUUUAAACCAAUGACACCAAUCUUGAUACAUUAUGACAAUGAAGUAACGAUAUCAAAGGCAUAUAAUCAAGCAUACAACGGAAAGAGUCGAUAUAUUAGACUUUAAUAUGGCAUUGUAAGAUAAAGAAUUAGUGAUGGUAUAGUCACUAUAAGUUAUGUGUGAUCUUAUGAAAACUUAGCAGAUUUGUUUGCUAAAGGUCUAAAAAAGGACAUAGUGAUAAAAACCUCAAAAAGGAUAGGUCUCAAGCGUAUCAACUAAAUCUCCAAUGGUGGGAGCUCACUUCAGUGCUUGUGGCUGACUUACAAGUCUUGGGUAUUGGUCAUUCUACCAAAUGAAUGAUUGCAAGCACUAAUUUAUAUUUUCCAUCCCAAGAUGUAUAAUGUUUGGUUCCCAUAAUGUGUAAAACAAGGUUGAACAAAAGUUUUUAAUAGACCCAUAACAUGUAUAUGUUAAAAUAUUAUUAUUACAAGGUACUUCUGAUGGGAGCUACCUAUAUGAGUGGAGGUGUGACAGCUUCUAGGAGCUAACGAAUUGACUAUGACAAGCACUCAUGAAUGGAUGCAAAACAUAAGGCCAUAAAACUUGUUGGAAAAACUAAAUACAAAGUGAGUUAGGAAGUUUGUGUGUGUUUAAUCGCCCGACUAAUCAAAUGAAGAAUUGAUAGUUCAAUGCUUGGUCAACCACUCAAUUCAAAAUAAAACCAAUUGCACUUACUAAGUGAAGGUUCAAAUCAGCGGGUUUAUGCAUAAGAUUUUCAAAAUUGUUGAUAUUUGAAAAUUUUGAAAAUAGUGGGGGAUUGUUAGUGUACUUUCAAAAUAAAAGGUAGUCUUUUCAAAUGAAAAGUUAUCUUUUCAUAUUGUGUCUUAUGAAUGAAUAGUUGUAAUUUCAAAUGAUAAUUAUGGAAACAUCCCUUUAUCUAUAGGUUGUGUCUUAAAAAUACAAAGAUGUUUUUUAGAAAAAGAGGUGCCUUGAUGAAAGAAUUGUGUCUUUGAGAAGAUACUUGCAAGCCUAUAUAAAGGACUUACUGUUAACCAUUUUAAUAUAUCAAAACAAAAACAAAACAAUAACAGAAAAAUCAAGAGUAAGAGAAGUGUUGUGUUCUAAAAAUUAACAUAAAUACUUAAGUUCCCAUUAACUACAAAAAGCAUUUAAAUCCCUUGUAAUCUACUUGCUACAAAAAGUAGGUUAUUAGGUUGAACAACUUUGCAAACUCUUAAAUGUAUUUAAUGGUCUACUCUCGUAAUGUAUUUCAUUGUAUCUUUAAGGCUAUUCACAUUAUUCCCUUUUACAUACAAAGUAGUGGAGGCGAAUUAAGUCUUAAAGAUAACGUUUAUUGAAAAGCUCAUUUUGAAGUCAAUUUUGUCAUUUUCUUAAAUUUCAUCUAAACCCCAUUUGCACCAACAAAAAAGAAAGCAAAUUAAGACAACAAACCAAAAAAUGUAGAAAACUCAAGGAAAUAAUAAGAAAGAAAAAGAAAAGCAAGAAGAAGAAGUGGAGAAGAUUUUGGAUACUGAAACAACAAGAACAUGAAGAAGGGAAAAUAGAAAGAUGGAGAAACACAAGAAAAAGAUGGAAAAGAGAAAGGCAAAGAAAAUAAGAGAAAGUUCUAGAUAUUGAACUAAUAAAGACAAAAGGAAAGGAAAAUAAAAGAAAUAGAGAAACUGAAGAAAAGGAAGGUUCUGGAUAGCAAAGUGCAGCUUUGUGCCAGAGAUAAAAUGAUAAUAUAAAAAAAAUCAGAAAUUAUAUAUACUAUCAGUAAAUAAGAUGUGAGACCACAAACUUAACAAGCGACACGUCACACAUACAAAAUGCUAAUUGAUCGUUCAUACAAAACGCCCAAGUGUGAAACCAAGAGCCUUACCAAGUGUCAAGCCAAUAGCUUUUCAGGGCUUCCUUUAACAUAUGGUUAUAGAUAUGACAGCAGCAGUAUGACCUUCCAAAGAUAUAGCAAGUUGAAAAGGUUGGGCUCAGAAUUGGCUUUCCAUGAGAUUAUAGCCCCAUUCUGCAACAAAACGAUGGAUUAAGUAACUCACUUUUGUGUCAAAGUCAAAAAGAAGUCAAUGUAAACUAAUGAUUUAAAGAAAGAUGGACUCAAAUCAGAUUAAACACCUAUGUACCAGCAAAAAGCAUAUCAUUAGCCAUUGCCAUGGCAUGGACUUACCUAACUAGCCUUUUUAGAUAGAAAGCACUUUAUAUAAAAGACAUUCAUUUGUUCUGGAUCCCUGACUGGUGGUUCUUAGAAAAUUUUAGCUGCAAAUUUUCUAACAUCAAAACUGCACCAAGACUAAUUCUUAUUAAUCAGGGGCUCCAUAACAAGAUCAAAUAAGAACCAAUACAGCUAGCGAAUCAAAGGCAUAAAUAUACCAUUUAUCAUUAUGGACAAGAUAUUUAGAGAAAAUGGAAGUUAGACAAACCAUCCUGUUCAAAAUCCUUAACAAGCAAUAUCUUCCUCUCCUCUAAGAAGAGUAAGCUUAACUCUAUGCCUCUUUGCCAAUGUUGGUGUUUGUUUCCCUUUUUAUACCUAUCCAGACUUAAUGUACAAGCUUCUAGUUUGGCUCCACGUGCUUAAUUUUUUUGAAUAAAUAUUAAAUAGAGUUUGACUUCACUCUAAACAACUCUUUUCUUUCUUUCCUUUUCUAUUACAUAUCAUUUGGUUUCCUACUCCGUUUCAUUUGCAUAGCAAAAACCAAAUAAAAAAAUUACUCCAUUACUUUUCUUCUUUGACAGAAAUUGAUCCAUUAAAGUUCAUCUUAGAAAUUUUCCUUCUGAAGAAAACACUAAGAAAAAGUUUUGAAAUCAUAGGUAUGCACAACAAAGUUGAUAGUUGUAACAAUAUGGGUAGUCUUGAUAAUGAGAGAAUUUUCAAGAAACGUCAAAUUGUACUUGAACAAAUAUCUGCAUUAAUCUCUAAGCAAAAUCUUGAUAAUAAAGUCUUUUCAAGCUAAAGAUUAGAGGAUGGGCAACCAAGGGCAUGGAUGUAGGCGAAUAUCUUCGAUAACUUAUGGCUAACGCCACCAUAGCUGUCCAUGAAGAACAUGAGCUUAAGGGAAGUGUUGAUCCUAGGACAGUCUUGUAGGAAGCUUACUUCCAUACCAAGGUUGAAGGAUCAUCAACGGCCUGUAUUCUCACACUUAAAGCCAACUUUUUGCAUGCUGUGAAUGUGGGAGACAGUGGGGUCAUGGCGUUUAGAGAUGCAAAAUUGGUCUGUCGAUCACCCAGUCAGCAACGUGAUUUCAAAUAUCCUUAUCAAUUGGGUAAUAGCGAGAUUAGUGAUGGACCUAAUAUGACAAUGAAGUUAUUUGUGAGGGUGGAGGCAGGGGACAUAGUCGUUCUUGGCACCGAUGGCUGCUUGAUAGCAUGCAUCCAACUGAGAUGGAGGAAAUUUUGAAGCGCGAAACAAAGGAAAAAAAAGGAAAUGUUUGUCCAGAUAAGAUAGCAUCAUUGAUAGCAGGGUAUGCAUUGCACAACUCGUUUGACAGAUUUGCAUUCUCUCCAUUUGAAGAAGCUGCAAAGAAGGCAGGGCUGAAUCGUAUGGGAGGCAAGGUAGAUGACAUUACAGUUGUCGUAAGGAUCGUUCAAUCUUAAGGGGCUGCAGCUGGACUGUUUUUAUCCUGCUCAUUUUCUUGUAUAUUUUCCUUUUGUCCUAGUACUACAAUUGAUAUGGUGAGUUAGUCUAUAAAUUGGUUAGCCAUGUAAUUUGUAAGAUACGGACUUUUAAUGAAAAUCCAAACUUUCUUCCAAUUUUUCUACUACAUUAUCUAUCACUUUGUUUCAUACUCAUUGCAUUCACAUACCUAAAACCAAUAAAAGAAAACGUUUUAUAUUAGAAUCACAUGUUAAACGGUUAACACCUUCAAAGAGAAAAGUGAGUUUCCAUUUUGUAGGAUUGUUAAAAAAUUAUAACAAACCUGCAAGCUGCAUGGAAUUGAUAAGAAAGCAAUAAAGCAGAAGAGAAGUCGAGAGUAAGUUGAAUGUCUUUUGAAUUCGGCUCCUCUCCAGGUAUGAAUAUCUACUUAAUUGGAGAAAUUCUCUGUAAUCAACAAAUAUAGCUGGAACCAUGUCAUAGGCUUCCUCAAUCCUAUCCUUUACAUCUUGUGAAGGAACAGUUUUACUGACUGCGAAUUCAGAUUCUAAAUUUGCAAAGAAUGUCUCAGCCUCUUCCUAAAUCGACUCUUUGGACAGAUUUGGCUAAGGUUCCACAGUCUGUAACUAGGAAAACUUGAAAAGGAAAAAAUAAGGCUACAAACUGCAAGUACUACUCUCCCUAUCUCACUUUUAUUAUAUUGCCACAGUUUGAUUUUUUGAGAAAACCUUUUUUUUUUUAAUUUAUGAUCUUUUUUAUUCUAAUUUAACAUUGAAAACUGGGAAAUUUAGCAAGUUUGAGUUGGUAGAUUCUACCUUAUGUUGUUGUAGAAAAGAUGGCAGCAUUAUCGAAAGUAAUAGCUAAUAUUUUGUUGUCAACUAGAUCAUAUGACAUGAAAUCAGUGGGAUAGCAACAUCAACUUGAAUUAAGCAUGUGCCAUUUACAAUAUAGCCUCCAUUUGGUAAGUAUAAACAAAAAAGAGGCAAUAAUUCAAACAUUUUCUUUAUGCAAGAAGAAAAAAAAAAAGAUUGUCAAUCAUGCCGACUAAAGCCCUUGAGUGGCUAUUGGGAUUUGUUUCUGCAAACGGUGAGGCAAUAAAAAUCUCAACAUGAAUUAUGCAGGUAUCGUUUACAAGAUAGGCUGUUGGAGGAUUGUAGGGUUCAUUCAGAUAUUACUUAUAAUUAAGUUAAUUUUUCAAAUGAGAAAAAAAAAAUAAAAAGUUUUCUUAAUACAAAUUUUGGGUCAUUUCAUAUUUAAAUAAUGGAAAUGAGUGUCGGUAUAUGGUUUUUUUUUUUUUGAAAAGUAAAUUUAUUGACCUCAACAAUCAGUUUAUCAUUUCAAGUUUCUUGUUUGUAUAACAAGAGACUUUGCAUGACAUAAUAACUUGAUUUGUGUAUGAAAAAUCUGAACAAUUACCAAAAACAAUUACCGCACGAAAAGCAAUUGACAACAAAACUCAAAAUGUUCCCUGGUUGCAUCACAAAAAAUAAUUUGCCCCUAGAACAAAAACUGGGCUUUGAUCAAUUAGAAAAUAAAAACUCUUCAGUACCUAUUCAUAGCCUUCAUACUUAUACAGCCACAGACCUACAAAUCCUACCUCCAAACUUGUAGCCUACCAUCCUAGAUCCAUACUUACAAAGCCAUAUCCGUUAUUCCUUGCACCCAAAUUCGGAUUAUUUUGAAUCAAUAAAAAUUCGAUUCAUUUGAAAUUCAAGUGGAUAAUUUUUAAAAUGAAAUUGAGUUGAAUUAGACUAAUCAUUCUAGUUGACUGAGAUUUUAUCACCCUCAAUUAAGUUGUUCAAUACAACAUUUUAUCUAAGCAUACCGCACAUCUAGAAGUGUAAUCAAGUCAAGUCUAUCUAGUGUUAGGUGAGUUUGAGCUCGGUUCAAUUAAAAAACUCAAUGCUCGAGCUUGGUCACGUACAAUGUCAAGCUCGAGCUUGACUCAAUUGAAAAAUUCGAGUCUCGAGUUCAGUUGAAUUUUAUUUUCUCAUGAACAAGCUUGAUUCAAGAAAAAAUUAAACUACUUGAGGUCAAUUCAAUUAUUAUUAAUUUAUAUAAAAAAUUUAAAACUCGACUUGAGUAUGAAUUUAGAAAAACAAUUCAAGUAAAACUUUAAAAUAGGUAAAUAACUAUCAUAUUUUUUUGAUAGAUGUAUAAAAUAUUAAAAAAAAUUUUAAUAUUCUUGAGUUUAGAUCAACUUGAGUUUGAUUUUGGUAACUUUUAAGCCAAUGAUAUUUUUGUCGUUUGAGUCGAAUUUGGUUUGGAUUGGUCUUUCAUAUUCAGUUAAAGCUUGGCUGAGUCUGCUUUUAGUCCCUUUGGAUUUUGGAUUCAGCUACUUUUGGUUAUCUUUUUCAAGUCAAUAUUCUUAGAUUUUGGGUUGAAUUGCAGACCGAUAACGAAAUCAUUUGGGUCGGUUCAGAUUUUUACUAGAUGAUUACAACUUAGAAGUUCCAUUCACAAAAUAAGAUUUAUGAGAUUAAAAAAAUUUCUCUUAUUAUGUAAUUCAAUAUGAAAUGCACAAUUAACGCUUCUAGCAAAAAAAAAUUUCUUUUGCUGCAUUUCUUUUUAAUUGUCCAUAUUUGACUUUUAAAAAAUUUAAGAUUAAACAUUUUGAUUUUUAUAUUUUUUAUUAAAAUUUUAAAACUUUUUACAUAAAUAUGAUUUUAAUGCCAAAAAGCAUAAAAAGGAAGCAAUGAAAAAUAAAAUUGAAAUUUAAAAAAAAAUAAAAAGUAUUAGAUAUUUUAAAGUAGGAAAUAAGACACAUAAUUUUAGAAUACGAGAAACAAGAAAAUGGGAAGUAAGUUUAUGUACGAAGCAUUAAAAAAUAAGUUACAUAGAAAUCCUACAUAAUAAAAGAGGUAAUGGGGAAUAUAAGUACUCAGUCUGCAAACAGUGAGCCAAUAGAAAUCUCAACUUGAAUUAUGCAGGUAUCAUCUACAAGAUAGCCUGUUCGAGGAUUGUAGAGUUCAGUCAGAGGCAUGAAGCAAUUGAAGCCCCAGUCAUGGUCACGUUCAUUAAACUCAUGAUAUGUGUCUGAAAAAGCAACGCAAAAGAUUGUCAAUUUCAGUUUAAAACAAGAAUGGAAAACCAAAAGAGACAAAAUAAUGCAAAGAGCAUAUGUAGAAUUGGCAUAAAUCACUUGGGAAGAGCUUCUUCCUGAUGCAAAAGCUUAACUAGAAAAAUAAUAAACAACACAAGGAGUGGGAGCUGAAGAGCAAAUUCAGCUUACAAAAGACGAUCAAUGAUAAAUGUUAUGUUGCAAUGGCUAGCUCCUCAACAGGAAAGGGUUAAACUUACUAGGCAACUAGCUGGGAAACCCAAGACUUCAGUUUUCUAGGCGAUGAACUUGGUAGAUAUAUGAAAAAAGUUCGUCAGAAAUAUAUCUAUGUGUAUCUGACGUGCCACUAGUGUUUUGAUGCUUGAGAGAUGGUAUCUUAAUUGCACAGUACAGGUUAGGGGCGAGGGUGAACAGUCACCAAUAUUGACCUCGUAGUACAAGUCCUCAUUCGAGUGAACAAACUAAGGCAAUUGGCCCAUAUCUUAGCAGAAACGAAUGUGACAUGUGCAGUAAUGUGCACAUCGAGUAACAAGUGUAUAACAAAAACUGAGCCCUUCCUCACAAGAACUGGCUAUCAGAUAUACUAACUUAUUAUAUGUCACUAUUCUUGAUGUCCUUAAGAUGAAACUAUUCUUGUUGUUUCAUGGAAAAGGGAAAAACAAGGAACAAAAAUGCCAAGAAUCACGAAAGGGUUUUACUUCACAAAACCAAUGAAUUUAUACAAGUCCUUGGCAUCACAGGUGGACUGCUCAAAUACCGAAAUCAGAGAUUAAUCGUGCACACCAUUUGAAAUCAUGUAUCCAAUUUAUAUGAACAACAGAUUGCAAGCUACUGUAAUAUAAUUCACCUUUAUUGACAGAGUAACGCUUAUCAAUCUGGUUGACGACUGUUAAUGUAAACAGCGGACAGACACUCCAAUUAUCAGGCAAAUUUUCUGAAGCAGCAACAUCUAGGAAAAUUGACAAAUGAUCCUUAUUGGGAAAAACGAGUAGUCGCCUGUCCAAUACAAUUCCUUCCACAUCUUAAGUAGCUAUCGGCAGUGCAUGAUAAACAAGUUGAAGAUACGCAAAUUACCAUUUGUAGCCACCAAGAUCCACGGUCUCAGAGUACAUCUUCUUGGCCUCGAGUCUCGAGAAAUUCUCAGCUUUCCAUGUGAACAAUAAACUCUGGGGUUCAUCGUUUGCAGACCCAGUGUUUCCUGCACGAAGAAGCGAAAUUAAGAAAGGUUAGCUAAAGACAUUGAACUAAAGAAGAAAACAAUACAAGGCAUCAAUUUGAAAACUUGUUCUACUUGUUGUCAAACCGUUAAUAACAUAAAUCCCAUGUUAGGGUUUUAUGCUAAGAUGAAAUCUAAGUUCUAAUAAUGGAAUUGAGAUUACCUUCCAUUGGCAGAGAAUCUUGUGAUCAAAACUUGAUUAGAAAAAGAGCUAGCCGUCUAAUUUACGCAAUGUUCUUGUUUGUUUCUCCUUUUUUACCUAUCUGGACUUGAUGUACAAGCUCUCGGCCUUUUUUUUAAUAAAUAUUAAAUUAGAGUUUGACUUCACUCCAAAUUAGUUCUUUUCUUUCCUUCUUCUACUACAAAUCACUUUGCUUCCUACUCCAUUCAUUUGCAUAGUAAAAACCAAAUAAAAGAAUACUCCAUUGCUUUUCUUCUUGUGAGGGAACGGUUUCACCGUCUGCAAAUUCUGAUUCUAAAUUUGUAAAGAAUGUCUCAACCUCUGCACUCUUUGGACAGAUUUGGGUAAGGUUACAUCUGGUCUGUAACUAGGACAACUUGUAAAGGAAAAAGUAGGGCAAUAAACAAGUACUACUUCCCUAUCUCACUUUUUAUUUUUUUAUUCGAAAUUUAUCAUUGAAAACUGGAAAAUUUAGCAGGUUUCCAUUGGUAGAUUCUAUCUUAUGUUGUUGUAGAGAUGAUGAGCAGUAUAAAAGAUGGCUGCAUUAUGUCUAAGGGUUAUGUAAAAGCAAUUUAUGUAAUUAAGAAUUGUCACAAGUGCCUUCUCAUGCUCUUCAUGGGUUAUCUUUCUAAGGUUUUAAACAAUGUUAAACCAUGACCAGAUUUCAUCCAUUUGCCAAUGACCUGCUGAUCAUAUAUAGGCAAAAGCAAAAAGCUACAAAGAUUAAGAUGAACCAGUAGCAAGGGAAUAUAAAAUAACUAAAGAAUAGAGAAGCAGAGCAGAGAUUUGAUGAGGAAUUAUUAAGACCCUUGAAACAGAUGAAAAAAAAAUCCACAAAGUGAAUCAUUUAUCUAUCUUAACAUCACCAAUAUUCAAAUUUAACACCUCUAAGUUAGAACUCUUGAUUCUAUUAAUUGAGUUGUGAUAUCUUUGAAAAACUUGACCAAUUUAAGAUGGCAAUCAUGUUACCAUCCUUACAUGCUUAGGCCUUUCUGCUUAAAAAUCUAUAGUUAAAUAUUUCAUUCUCUUAUUUUUACUAUACAUUCUUUUCUUGAAACAUUUUAUUUACUCAUAGAUUAUUACAACAAUUAUCUUUAUUUAUUCCUAUUUUUCAAGGAUGUAGGUAUGUUUAAAGCUCUAGGUCAAAUGGACAUGGUUGUCCUCCCCUUCAUUGAGUUUAAACAAAAAAAUUUGAUGAAGGAAAAUGAGAGAGAGAAAAUUAGUGUCAAGCUCGAGCUUGACUCAAUUGAAAAACUCGACGCUCGAGCUCAAUCGAAUUUUAUUUUCUCAUGGUCAAGCUUGAUAUUAAAAGCUACAGGAUCUAUUUAAGGAAGUAUGAGUUACUGGCUGUAAUGAAGAACAGAGUACUAGCAAUGGACAUGUAAUUUAAUUAUAGGCUUGGAUUGUAGUUUUACUAGUUACUGUUACUAUGACACUGUAAUUAGUUAAAAGCUAGUAAAAGUUAGUUUUUAAUUGUUUCUAGAGUUAGUUAGAGUUAGUUAGUUGUUAGUAUAAAUACAUCUUGUACUGACUGAUUCAAAAUGUGAAAAUCAUUUUUUCCUCUCAACUGUCUCUCGAAGCUCUCUCUCUCAGCUUGUAUGACAUUUCUGCUGAUUUUAUCAUGGUAUCAAAGCAUUCGGUUAGGGAUUUUGAAACUCUCAUUAUUUUGAAGAUCUUGUUAACUUGUUUCUGAUUUCCAAUAGAUCUAGCAUUGAUUCUUGAUGAAAUUUGUCUGUUGAUUCUUGCUAAUCAUUCUUGAAAUUUCUGAGUUCAUGAUGGAUGAAAUACAGUUGUAAGACCUGUUAUUUAUCCAGUUCAAGAUCCAUUAUCACUUUAUUUUUUACACCAUUCUGAUUAUCCUGGAUCAGUUGUCAUUACCCCUAAACUAAGCACAACAAACUAUGUUUCAUGGAGUAGAUCGCUUCUUUUAGCAAUUUCGAUUAGGAACAAGUUAGGGUUCCUAAAUGGAAGUAUUGCUAAACCAGCUAUGACAGAUUCAUUAUUUGAUUCAUGGACAAGGUGCAAUAAUUUAAUCGUAGCCUAGUUAUUAGAGUCAAUAACUCCUCUUGUGGCUUCUACUGUGUUCUACAUGGACUCUGUUGUAGAAAUUUGGAGUACUCUAAAGCAAAACUUCUCACAACUUGAUGACACAAGGAUAUGUAACCUGCAAUUUACUUUAGGAAAUGUGUCUCAAGGAACAAGAUCAGUAAAUGCAUAUUUCAUUGAAUUAAAGGGGAUUUGGGAAGAGAUGAGGAACUACAGACCACUGCCACAAUGUGAAUGUGGAAAAUGCAAUUUUAAUUGCUUUAAAAGGUAUUCAAAUCAAUACCAGAAGGAUAUGGUAUUUAAGUUUCUAAAUGGUUUGAAUGAUUCUUACUUUGCUAUAAGGUCAUAAAUAAUUUUACUGGAUCUUAUUCCUACUUUGGAUAAGGUAUAUAGUAUGGUGUUGACCGAAAAAGCACAAAGAAAUCUACUGAUACAAGGUCAACCAGUGUUAGACUCUUCUGCUAUGGCUGUUGCAACAGAUGACAAGAAAAAGUUCAAGAAAGAUGUCAUUUGUUCUCAUUGCAAUAAGAAAGGCCAUUUAAAAGAAAAAUGUUUCCGAUUGAUAGGCUUUCCUGAAGAUUUCAAGUUCAAUAAAGGAAGAAAUGCAUACAAGAGAGACAAGGCAGCAAAUAAUGCUACACUUAUUGAAGGGAAACAAUCUGUUAUGGAGGGAAAACAGCUUGCACAAGAUGAUGAGGUUGUUGGAAAUAUCUCCAUGUUCCAGAUGUCACUCAUUCAGCAGCAAGUCAGCAAGCUGAUGAAUCUCCUAAAUGAAAGUGGCAUUAACAUUGAUGAUGGUAAAGAAAAUCCUACUGCCACUCAACAAAGCAAACAUUCUCUGGUCAAUUCUACAUUUGCAGAUAUCAUUUCUGGUCUCAUUUGCUUCAGUAAUUCUAAUAAUCUUCCUUCCAAAUAUUGAAAUGUGAAUGCUUCCAUGAUUGAAUAUAAUUCUUAGAUAGUAGAUACAGGGGCAACUGAUCAUAUUUCUUAUACUUUGAACAAUUGGUUUCUGCUAAGCCUGUGUCUAAUUGUUUUAUGCAACUUCCAAAUAAGGCUAGAGCUUUAGUUUCUUACAUUGGGACUGUCAAACUUACCUCAUCUCUCACCUUGAAUAAUGUCUUGUGUGUACCUAGCUUUAAGUUUAAUCUUCUUUUUGUGAGUAAGCUUACUAGUUCAAAAACAAAUUGUGUCUGGUUUAUUGAUGAAAUAUGUGUUGUCCAGGACCUGAAUUCAUACAAGGUGACUGGGGUAGCUAAAGUCACUGCAGGUUUAUACUUCAUGCAAGUUAAUGAGGAUGACCAAGAUCUGUCCAAGUAUAGUUUCAAUAAAAUCAUUGAUUUUGCCAAUGUAACUUCAGUUUUAGCCUAGUUACACCUUCCAACUUUGAUUUGUGGCAUUUUAGAUUAGGUCAUGCACCUUCAGAAAGAAUAGAUGUAAUUCAUGAACAUUGUCCAGAAGUUCAAGGUUCAAAAAAUUUGAUUUGUGAAGUUUGCCCUAUGGCCAAACAAAGAAAAACUCCAUUUCCUGUUCAUGUGCAAACCACUUUUAAUCCAUUUGAAAUUGUGCAUGCUGAUAUAUGGGGUCCUUAUGCGAUACAUACUAUUUCUAAUCAAAGGUUUUUUCUUACUCUUGUGGAUGAUUUUACACGUUUCACAUGGGUGUUUUUGAUGAAAUCCAAAUCGGAUGUUUCAACCAUUAUCUCCAACUUUCAUAAUUUUGUCAAAACUUAGUUUAAUACUUGCAUAAAAGUUUUGAGGACAGAUAAUGGUAAAGAAUUUGAUUUAUUGAAUUCUAUGCCAGGACAGGUAUUGUUCAUCAUCUUACAUGUGUUGAAACUCCUCAGCAAAAUGAUCGGGUAGAAAAGAAGCAUCAACAUAUUUUAGUAGUAGCUAAAGCCUUACUACAUUAGUCUCAUGUUCCACUUCACUUUUAGGGUCAUGUUGUCCUUACUAUCAUUCAUAUUAUCAAUAGAAUGCCAAGCAAAAUUCUCAAUAAUUUUACUCCAUAUGAGCUUCUUUAUAGGAAAUCUCCAUCUUAUGCUCAUCUUCGAGUGUUUGGUAGCCUAUGUUUUGUUUCUACUCUUAGUCAACAUAGAAAGAAAUUUGAUCCAAAGGCUAGUAAAUGUAUAUUUUUAGGUUAUCCUUAUGGUGUCAAAGGUUAUAAGGUGUAUGAUCUUCUUGCCAACAAUAUUCUAAUAUCCAAGAAUGUAGUCUUUCAUGAACAUGUAUUUCCAUUUCAAUCAUUGGGGGCCAAUUCCUAUGAUCAUGCAUUCUAUCAAACACCUCAUGUGCAUGACACAAAUUUUGAUUUUUUGGAUGCUGUACCUACUUCAUUUCCAUCUUCCACAUUUCCAUCUACUUCUACACCUUCAUUACAAUCUCCUACAUCCUUGGAUAACACAGGAACAUCAAAUUUAGUUGAUUUUGCUGAAAAUUCUAAUGACCAGUCUAUUUCUAACAAAAUUAUUGACCCUGUAGUUGACUUUUCUGAUUCAACAUUUAAUGACAAUACUUCCAAUCCUAUUACAUCUAUCCAACCUAGAAGAAGUGACAGACAUAGAAAACUACCUAAGUAUCUUGAAGUUUAUCAUGUUGAUAUUCUUAAUUCUUCAAAUUCUAUCACUUCUCAUCCAAUUACUCAUUUCUUAUCUACUACUCAAUUAUCCCCUACACAUAAAGCCUUUACUGCUUCAUUAUCACAUAUUCAUGAACCUAGUACUUAUCAUCAAGUUGUUGAACAUGCUCGUUGGAGAAAGGCUAUGGUUGUUGAACUAGAAACUUUAGAGGAUAAUGGCACAUGGAGCAUAAUUCCUCUACCCACUAAUUCUAGUUCCAUUGGCUCUAAAUGGAUUUAUAAGGUCAAAAUGAAAGCAGAUGGUACUAUAGAAAGGUUCAAGGCUCGCUUGGUUGUCAAAAGUUACAGUCAAGUUGAGGGUUUCGAUUAUCAGGAGACAUUUAGUCCUGUUGCAAGGCAAUCUACUGUCCGAGUGUUUCUAGCAUUAGCAACUACAAAAGGAGGGUGUUUAACUCAGCUAGAUAUCAACAAUGCUUUCCUUAAUGGGGAUCUUGAUGAAGAAGUGUAUAUGUCUUUGCCACAAGGUUAUCAAGUCCAGGGCGAGUAUCCACCUGAUACUAAGCUUGUGUGCAGACUGCAUAGGUCUUUGUAUGGCUUGAAAUAGGCUUCAAGACAAUGGAAUGAAAAGUUUACAACAACACUGGCACAGUAUGGUUUCAAACAAUCUUUAUCAGAUUACUCAUUAUUUACCGUGAGUACAGAAACUGGUGAAUAUUCAUAGCCCUUCUCGUUUAUGUUGAUGACAUAGUCAUUGGCACAAGUUGUAAAGCCCGACCUUAUAAAAUACUAUUCAUGACAUACAUGUGAUGAUAGCAUGAUUGCAUGCUAGGAGAGUCCCGAAAAAUUUACAAAAGUCGAUAUUGUACCUAGAGGUACAACAAAGUUGAUUUAAUCCUCGAACUAGAUCAAAUAGGAAUUUUAAGGUGAAAUUAAGAGUGUCACAGUCCAAGGAUAACUUAAAAUGGUAAUUCGGAGUUUGAGGAUCAAUUUGGAGUCAAACAGGAAUUUUUACCAUCUAGGGGCAAAAUGAUCAUUUGCCACCUGGAGACAAAAUGGUAAUUUUAGAAAAGAUUUAUUUGUCCCCAUUUGACUUAUUGGAGUAUAAUUUGACUUAUUGGAGUAUGAUUUGAGGCUUAGAAGUGAAAAAUUUUAAUUUCGGUAUAAUUUAGAGUAAAAAGGUAAAAUGAUAAUUUUGCCACCCCAAGGGCAAAAUUGUAAUUUUCCACCAUCAGGACAUUUUUUCCAGCACAUGGUCUUCCUUUAUCUUCAUCUUUGACCCUUGACUAAUCAUGUAGUGGAGAUAAAAUGUUUAAAAAGUUUUAAAAUGAACCAAUAAGAAAAUGCCAUGUAUCAAGCUUAGGAUAUUUUAUUAUUUAACUAAAAAAUCGGCAUAAAUCAGCCCAUUACUCUCCAAAUAUUCGGCCAAGCAAGGAAGAGAGAGAAAGAGAGGAAGAACAAACCCUAGGUGAGGAAUUUCAAGAGAAAAAGUGUGGAAAAUCAAGGAAAACAAGUGAAAAAGGUAGGAUUUUUCAACUUAAGCUUGAAAUCCAUUUUCCUUAAGCAUUUCUCCUUAUUUUNNNNNNNNNNNNNNNNNNNNNNNNNNNNNNNNNNNNNNNNNNNNNNNNNNNNNNNNNNNNNNNNNNNNNNNNNNNNNNNNNNNNNNNNNNNNNNNNNNNNNNNNNNNNNNNNNNNNNNNNNNNNNNNNNNNNNNNNNNNNNNNNNNNNNNNNNNNNNNNNNNNNNNNNNNNNNNNNNNNNNNNNNNNNNNNNNNNNNNNNNNNNNNNNNNNNNNNNNNNNNNNNNNNNNNNNNNNNNNNNNNNNNNNNNNNNNNUUUCAGAGCAAAAAUAGGAAUUUUUACCCAUUAGGGGUAUUUUCGUAAUUUACUAUCGAGAUUGAUAAUUUGCACCACACUAAGGGACAUUAAGUCAAUUUGGGUGCAAUUGAGGUAUAGAAACUGAAAAAAAUUAAUUUGGGAUUAAAUUGGAGGCGUUAGUAAUUUAAUCGGGUGAUAAGACAAAUUAGGCCAAUACCGAGUUUAGAUAGUUAUCAGUGCAUUUUUGCAUUCCAUAUUAUGCAUUAAUAGUCUAAAUUAGUUUAAUUUCAAUUUAGUACCAAUGUAGUGAAUUUCUCGAUUUUGUACUGUGUCAAGGUGGUGAGUCCUCCGAUAAAGGCAAAGAAAUUGCAUCCGAGGACCAGUAGACAGAGUGCGUCAAAAGUCUGCAUUCUAGACAUUGUGAGUAAACUUACUGUCAUUUUAAUUAUCUAGGGUGGUUUUUAGAUGAUUUCAUGAAUUCUAUGGAAAAAGGAAUUUAAAAAGGAAAAUUUUCAUGUUUUAUGAAUAAAUGUAUUUCAAUGAAAUUAAAUUAUAAAUUGUUUUGAAAUUAAUAGUGAUUUUGAAAAAUAGAGUACACGAAGACUGUUAAUUGUGGCAAUUUGAUUGUUUAAAUUGAUUGGCUCAUGAUAAAUCGGGUAUGAUUGGCUAGUUGGCAAUUGCAUUGAAAUGCGAAUUAUUUGAUUGCCUUGAAAGACUGUGAAUUACAAAAUUGCCAUAUCAUGUUAUUGAGUUUUAUUGUAUGGUGGAUUAUAUAUAUUAAUUAAUUACUGCAGUAGGGGGUUUCUAUGGACCAGCCUUUUAGAAGGGCACAGUAAACCCCAUUAUAUUCUUACCUCAAACGGAGAGGCGCGUAGGGUAUCUCCUAGGGUAAAGUUUAGAGUUCACUUCACACUAAACCACCACGUGAGGGGGAACUCAGCCAACGCCAAGGAAUGGCUAUGUUUUCUAAACAAAAAUAUGAUUUAUGUGAAAUGUGAAUUUUAAUAGCCUUGGCGGUCUUGGUAGGAUGCCUCGACCAAGGUGUCCCCGAGAAUGAAUUUAUGGCACAAGCCUAAUUUUUAUGAGAUUCAUAAGCCUCUUUACAUAUUUUAAAUGAAAUGUAUUCUUAUGCUGUGACCCAGUUUACGAUGAUUUAUUUUAUUGUCUCCAUGUACUCAACUCUAUAUAUUUAUGAUGAUGUCUAUUUACUCAUUGAGAUUUUAUAAUCUCACCACCCUCCUUUCCACCCAUUUCAGGUUCAGUAUAGGCUGUAGAUAGCUGAUCUCAUCGAGGACUACCAUUGGAUCUGCAUUUUUCAAACCGUAAGUUCACAGUCCUCUUUACUUUUGUUCAUUCGGGGGCCCUCUUGUUAUUGUAAAUUAAAUUAAAUAUUUUGGCUUACUGUAUUACAAUAUGUAUAAAUUUAUUUAGCUUUUACGCUCUAAAAAAAUUAUUCACGUAUAACUUUAUAAAUAUUGUUUUAUAAGAAAAUAGAAUAUUUUACUUAAUAUUUCCUUUAUUUUCUUAUUAUAUUCAAAUAACCAUAAUUUCGUUUUAAAUGAAGAUUUUAGACUUUUAAACUCAUUUUGAUUAUGAAUUAUGUCUUUUGUACUUGUAUAUUACAUUUUAGCCAGUUUCAAAAUUUUUGAGAAAAAUGACCAAAAUAUCUCUGUGAGACGAAAAUUAAUAUUUUAUUUGUUUUAAGUUGGAAACGACUUAAAAUCUUUUAGAACACAAUAUUUGACAAUGGUUGCUCACAAUGGAACAAAGAAACUAAUAGUAAAGCCUUGCGGGGUUUCGGGUUGACAUUCCGGGCAAUGAGUGUCUACUGGGAUACCGCGACAAUUGUCACGGGCUCGAGGGGAGUACCGGGUCGUGACACAAGCUCUCCUCAGUUAGCAAACAAUGUUAAAGAAUAUCUAAGUUCUCACUUCAAAUUGAAGGACCUUGGAGAAGUUGAACAUUUCCUAGGAUUGGAAGUAGCCAGAUCAGUAAAAGGCUUUUCUAUUUGUCAAAGGAAAUAUGUCUUAGAUAUGUUGGAUGAGCAUGGUUUUCUGGGAGCAAAGCCAGUAUCAACACCAAUAGAUUAUAACCAUAAACUUGAAAAGGCAACAGAUGAAGAACAAUUAAACAAUGUUCCUGUUUAUCAUCAACUCAUUGGAAAACUAUUAUACUUAACCUUCACAAGGCCAAAGAUAUCCUAUGCUAUUCAAACGCUUUCUCAGUUUAUGGAUAAGCCAGGGCACAUUCAUCUCAUGGCAACCUAUAGAGUACUAAAGUACUUAAAAGGUUCACCAAGACAAGGAAUUCUUUUGAAAUCAAAAUCUAAUUUGCAACUGAUUGCAUAUUCAAAUAGUGAUUAGGCUGAUUGUCCAAAUACAUGAAGAUCCAUAACAGGAUUCUGUGUUUUUAUUGGUGAAUCACUAGUAAGCUGGAAGUCUAAGAAGCAAUCAGUUGUUGCUAAGAGUUUUGCAGAAGCAGAGUACCAUUCUAUGGCUGCAGCCUGCUGUGAAGUAAUGUGGUUGAAAUCUCUACUUUCUGAUUUUGGAAUUGAACAUUCUACAUCCAUAAAGCUCUACACAGAUAGUCAAUCAGGUAUUCAUAUAUGUAAAAAUCCAAUUUUACAUUAGCGAACAAAACAUAUUGAGAUGGAUGUUCAUUUCAUUCGUGAUAAAGUGAAAUAUGGAUUGAUUAGUUCUAUUCAUGUCUCGACAACAUUACAGGUUGCAGAUAUAUUCAUAAAGGCUUUACAACCAAAGGUUUUCCAGAGACUUCUUAAUGAGAUGAAUGUGCAUACUAUACACAAUUCAUCUUGAGGGGGAGUAUUAGAAGCUGCAGGAUCUAUUUAAGGAAGUAUGGGUUACUGGCUGUAUUGAAGAACAGAGUACUAGCAGUGCACAUGUAAUUUAAUUAUAGGCUUGGAUUAUUGUUUUACUAGUUACUGUUACUAUGGCACUAUAAUUAGUUAAAAGCUAGUAAAAGUUAGUUGUUAGUUGUUUCCAGAGUUAGUUAGAGUUAGUUAGCUGUUAGUAUAAAUACAUUUUGUAUUGACUGAUUUAGAGUGUAAAAAUCAUUUUUUCCUCUCAACUGUCUCUCGAAGCUCUUUCUCUCUCUAAGCUUGUAUGACAUUUCUACUAAUUUUAUCAUUUGACUCAAGAAAAAAUGAAGCUAUUUGAGGUUGACUCAAUUAUCAUUAAUUUCUAUAGAGACUUCGAAACUCAACUCAAGUUUGAAUUCAGAAUAAAAAUUACAGUGAAACUUUAAAAUAUGCAAAUAGCUAUCAUAGUUUAUUGAUAAAAGUAUAAAAUAUUAAAAAAAAGCUUGACAAAACUUACACGCUACUAAAGGUCGGCUUGACAAUUAACAACUCGAUUUCAAGUAUCAUCGAGUUAAGUCAAAGUAGAUUAAGUGUAGAUCAUCGUGAGUUUGAUUUUGGUAAGUUUUAAGUUAAUGAUUUUUUUGUGGUCAACACUAAGUUGAGUCGAAUUUAGUUUGGAUGGGUCUUUCAUAUUGGGUUAAGCUUGGCUAAGUCUGCUUUUAGUCAAUUUAGAUUUUGGAUUCAACUAUUUUUGCUUAUCUUUUUCAAGUCAAUAUUGUUAGAUUUUGCGUUGAAUUUCAAACCAAUAACUUAAUCAUAAAUUGGGUCGGUUUAGAUUUUUCUUAGAUGGUUACAACUUAAAAGUUCCAUUCACAAAAUAUGAUUUUAUAAGAUGGAAAAAAUUUCUCUUAUUAUUUAAUUCAAUAUUAAAUGUACAAUUAAUGCUUCUAGCAAAAAAAAAAUUACUGCAUGUCUUUUUAUUUGUCCAUAUAUGACUUUUAAAAAAUUUAAGAUAGACUGUUGGAGGAUUGUAGAGUUCACUCAGAGGCAUGAAGCAAUUGAAACCAAAUUCCAAAUCCUUUGCAAAAAGGUCCAAGACCAACCAAAAUAUCAAACCAGAUCCAUCUCAAUAAAAGGAUAGGGCUUAGACAAACCAUCCUGUUCAAAGCCUUAACAAGCAAAUAUCUUUAGCUUAGCUCUAGACCUCUUUACCCAAUGUUCUUGUUUCCUCCCCUUUUUAUACCUAUCCAGAGUUGAUGUACAAGCUUCUAGUUUAGCCGUACAAGUUUUUUUUUUUUAAUAAAUUUUAAAUAGAGCUUGACUUCAGUUUAAACAAUUCUUUUCUUAGUUUCCUUUUUCUACUACGUAUCACCUUGCUUCCUACUCCAUUCAUUUGCAUAGCAAAAACCAAAUAUUAAAAAACUCCAUUACUUUUCUUCUUUGGCAGAAAUUGAUCCAUCAAAUUUUCCUUUUCAAGAAAACACCAAGAAAAAGCUUGAAAUGAUAGGUACGAACAACAAAGUCGAUAGUUGUGACAAUAUGGGGAGUCUUGAUAAUGAGAGAAUUUUUUAGAAACGUCAAAUUGUUCCUGAACAAAUAUCUACAGUAAUCUCUAAGCAGAAUCUUGGUAAUAAAGUCUUUUCUAGCCAAAGACUGAAUAUGAAACUUGAGCAUGUUAUCUUCCAAAAGACAAUGCGUUGAAGCCUUUAGGAGAGGAUGCUUAUUUUAUUUGCAAUGAGGAACAAACUUUGGUGUUGCUGAUGGUGUUGGAGGAUGGGCAGCCAAGGGCGUGGAUGCAGGAGAAUAUGCUCGGCAACUGAUGGCUAACGCCAUCAUAGCUGUUUAUGAAGAGCAUAAGCUUAAGGGAAAUGUUGAUCUUGGGAAGAGUCUUGCAUACAGUCCUUAUCAAUUGGGGAAUAGCGAUUAGUGAUGGACUUGAUAUGGCAAUGAAGUUAUUUGUAAGGGUGGAGGCAGGGGACAUAGUCCUCCAAGUGCGAAACAAAGGAACGAAACAGAAAUGUUUGUCCAGAGAAAGAUAAUUGAUAACAGGGUAUGCGUUGCACAACUCGUUCGACAAGUUCGCAUUCUCUCCAUUCACAAAAGCUGCAAAGAAGGCAGUACUGAAUCGUAUGGGAGGCAAGGUAGAUGACAUUACAGCUGUUGUAGGAAUCAUUCAAUUUUAAGAGGAUGCAGUUGGACUGCUUUCAUCCGUCUCAUUCUCUUGUAUCAUGGCUUCAUUAGCUACUACCUUUUCGUUUUGUACAAGUACUACAAUUGAUACCUGAAACCAAUAACAGAAUAUGUUUUAUUUUCGAAUCACAUGUUAAACGGUUAAUACUGAAAAGAUGGGAAAGAGUUUUAAUCUUCCGAGAGAAACAUGAAUGUCAAUUUUGUAGGAUUGCUAAAAAAUUAUAACAAACCCUGGAAGCUGCGUGGAAUUGAUAAGAAAGCAAUAAAGUGGAAGAGAAGAUGAGAGUAAGUUGAAUGUUUUUUGAAUUCGGCUCCUCUCCAGGUAUGAAUAUCUGCUUAAUUGGAGAAAUUCUCUGUAAUCAACAACUAUAGCUGGAGACCCAUGUUAAAGGUUUACUCAAUCCUAUUCUUUACAUCUUGUGAAGGACAGUUUUACUGACUGCAAAUUCAGAUUCUAAUUAUCCAGCAAGUUGUAUGAUUAGUUUGUCCUCUUUUAUAGUGUCAGCAAAACCAGAACUUUAGUAUGGCGCUAUAGACCACUCGACCAUCCCAACACGCUAUUCAUGAGUUAUCUUCCUAAGGUUUUAAAGAAUGUCAAACCAUGACCAGAUUUCAUGCACUUGCCAGUGACCUCCUGAUCAUAUAUAGGCAAAACCAAAAAGCUACAAAGACUAAGAUGAACCAGCAGCAAGGGAAUAUCGGUUAACUAUAGAAUAGAGAAGCAGAACAGAGAUUCGAUGAGGAAUUAUGAAGAUCCUUGAAACAGAUGAAAAAUAAAUUCACAAAAUGAAUCAUUUAUCUAUCUUAACAUCAUCAGAAUUCAAAUUUAAUACCUCUAAGUUAAGGUGUGAUCUCUUUGGAAAACAUGACCUGUUUAAGAUAACAAUCAUGUUACCAUCCUUGCAUAUUUAGACCUUUCUGCUUAUAAAUCCAUAGUUAAAUAUUUCAUUCUCUUAUUUUUACUAUACAUUUUUUUCUUGAGACAUUUUAUUCACUCGUAGAUUACUACAACAAUUAUCUUUAUUUAUUCCUAUUUUUCAAGGAUGUAGGUAUGUUUAAAGCUAUAGGCCAAAUAGACAUGGGAUAUCCUCCCCUUCAUUGAGUUUAAACAAGAAAAUUUGAUGAAGGGAAAGGAGAGAGAGAGAAAACGAAACAGGGAAUUUCCUCAGCUAAAUAUGAACUUGUUCAAACGAUUACAUCAUGCACAUCCACCAAAUAUAUUAUAGAAAGACUUGCUCAAAAUACCAUUCUACAACAGCUAAUUUGUUCUCUUUAAAUCUUUCCUUUGAGAGAAGAGAUGAAGCCUUUCAUUCUUCCCCAUUCUGCCUCGACACUUUUCUCCUCCUCCUCAGCAACCUUGGCCUUGGCCACAUACUCUGGCCAUUCCUUUCCCAAUGCAUUCAGCUGCGCUUUCAAGUCCUGGGAAAUUUUGAAAAUUUCCUUCCGCUCAGCCAAGAUAUUCUCUUUAUUCUUUUGUGCCUCAGCAACUUGCUCAUGGAGGGCAGCAAGUUUUUGCUCUACCUGUUUCGCCUCUGCCUUGGCCUCUUUAAAUUUGAUUAGACUAUCCUCUAAAUUACGAGUAAGUGCCAGCUUGACAGAUUCCUUCUCACUAAGGAGAUUCUUGUCCUGCACUGCUUUCACUACUCGCUCAGGUAGUUGUUUAAAGUUCUCCUCCAUGGCCAACAACUCAUCUUUUAGCUCAAUCGUAAAGGUAGAGGAACAAUCAACACUAGAUAGGACCUUGAAAGCCUUCUUAAGUGAAGAAAUCAUCCCUGAAUCAUAAAAGUUAGCUGGGGCCAUAUUCAGGGCUUCAUCUAUGUUGACCAGAGCUUCCUUUGCUUCUUCUUGAGAAGAAACAAUGUUACUUCUUGCGAGCUCAGACUCUAAGCUAGUAAAGAAUGUGUCCAUAUCUUCCUCAGUAGGGUCUUCAGGUUCAAUGGUCUGAAAUAAAGGGAAAGAAAGUAAUAAUAGAGAUACAAAAGAUGUAUAAAAUAUUUACAAUUAACUUGGCUGACUUACCUCACUCUGGGAAGAAGACUGAUCCGCAGUUGGCAAUUUUUGAUUGGUAGAUUCUGCCUCAUCCUGUCCUGGAGAAGACAGAACCGCAGGAGCUGAAAGGAUAGCUGAUGACUGAGUGGUGAUUUCCUCUGGUUUGACUAUUGUAGGUUUUUGGUUGUCUAUGGCUGCUUCACCGUGAUCAGCUUCCUUGCUCUUGAGUUUAUCAGAAGCAGUUUCAAGUUCAACUAUCAAUGCAUCUGACAGCAAAUCAAUAGUCCUAUCGGUGGCAAUGUAAGCUUCAACUAAGCAUGCAUCAUUCACGAGAUAGCCUCUCUUAGGGUCGAGUAAUUCAUCGAGAGGCAUGAAUGAAGUGAAGCCCCAAUCAUUCUCCUUUGCAUUAAACUCAUGAUUAGUGACUGCCAAAAGCAAAGAGUAUCAAUUAUCAACAACCAUUUGUGUAAACAAUCUGAUGACAAACUCAAAGAAGAAAAAGGCAUGGAAUAGCAUAUUCGGCAUCUGGUCUUUGCAUGUUUCGACCAUGCCCAAAGCCUCAAACAAAGCCCAUCUUUCAAGCAUUUACCACCUGAGCCAGGGCCCAGGAUCAUAGACAAAAAAUAAAUAUUGAGCCCCAAACAGAUAAAUUCAAAGUAGUGAAAAUAAGAGGAACCAUUCCAUUAGCCAAGGAAUAGAAAUUAGAACAGAAAACAAAGAUAGUGAUAGGAAGUUGUGUUCUUUAAAGAAGAUUCCCCGACUUCUUUCCUAAAGCUUUGACGGAAGGAAAAGAAGAUGCAGAGAGGGGAAACGGCAAUAAGUGAAGUUGUUUGGACUUGGGGGAGAGUGCUAGAAGGAAAUACCUUUUGUAAUCGAAGUUUUAGGAUCAGUUUGGUUGAUGACAGAUAAUCUGAAUUGGGCAUAUCUACUCCAGCCAGGAGGCAAAGUUGCUGAAUCUGCAGCAUCUACAUAAAUUGAAAUAUGAUCCACCUUGUUCCCCUUUGGGAAGACAAGAAGUUGCCUGCCAAACAAAAUUGCAAGUCUCAGUGAUAGAGAAAUGCAACUUGAAAUAUUACCGAAUCCUUAGAAUUACCAUUUGUUGCCACCAACAUGGAAGAUGUCAGAGUAGAGCUUGUUGCAUUUAAUACAGGAGAAAUUCUCAAUCCUCCAUGUGAACUUUCUCACUUGUUGACUUCCCAUAGACUGAGACUCACUUCUAUCCACUGCACUCAAAAACAAAAAGAAGGAAACAUGGAGGAGAAGAAUUAAAGAGUAAAAGGUGAAGCUAUUUAUGAAUACCUUCCAUUAUGAGAUGAUCUGCUGAUAAAAACUACUAUGCUGGAGAAGGUAGAGUGGAAGCUCUAGAGUUGAAAUACUUUAUUUAUACAACUUCGCCUUUAAGCUAUCUUUGUUAUCACUUGAACCACAUCCCUAUAUGUUUUUGAAUAAAGUAAAUAUAAUUUGACUUGGUCUUCCUUUUCAAUUUAAUAAUUACUUCCACUACUUGGCCUUGAAGUUGUCUUUCUUUCCUGGCAAUUCAUGGUACUGCACCUUCACAACCACUUCUUGUCUAUAUCAUAAAAAUAGAAAUCCAAAAUAUUAAGAAAAAAUAAAUUUUAUUUAAUUGAUACUUAUUUUUUAUAUCAUAUAAUAUUAAUAUAUUACAAUAAUAAAUAAUAACGUGAUACGUUGAUAAUUGCAUAUGAUUAAAUGAUUAUAUAAUAUUUUUAUUUUUUUAUAAGUGUCACGUUAAUACCAUGUGACAUAAAAAAUGAUAUAUGACGUUUAAUCAAAAUUGUUAAUUAUAAAUAACUAUUUGAUUUAAAAUAAAAAUAUAAAAAUUUAAUUAAAUAUAAUAAAAAGUAAAAACUUAUAAUUUUAGAAUUUUUUUAAAACAUUAUUCUUUUUACUUUUAUACAAAUAUAUAAUAAAUGAUGUCUUUGCACAAAAAGCAUAGUAUUAUUCCUUUUACUUUUAUAAUUUUAGACUGCCCUUUCCUUGAGCUCUACCUCUUUCUUUAUUAUAUAAUAUUGAAAGUAAUGAUAAUUCUAAAAUUAAAUAAAAACUAAAGUUAAGAAAAUAAAAUAUAUUAAAAUAAUUAUUCAUAAAACAUUGUAAUAUAUUUUAAUAAAAUAUAUUAAAAUAAUGCAAAGAGUUUAUGUAGAAUUGACAUAAAUCGCUUGGGAAGAGCUUCUUCCUCGUGCAAAAGUUUAACAAGAAAAAUAAUAAACAACAAUAGGAGUGAGAGUUAAAAAGCAAAUUCAGCUUACGAAAGACGAUCAAUGAUAAAUGCUAUGUUGCAAUGGCUAGCUCCUCAACGGGAAAGGGUUAAACUUACUAAGCUCUAGCUAGGAAACCCAAGACUUCAGUUUUCUAAGCGAUGAACUUAAUAGAUAUUGUUGGGAUUCGACCUCAUACUCAAACAUGAAAAUAAUCAAGAAAUUAAAAAAUAUAACACAGCAGAAUAAUAAGCUAGCAUUUAAUCAGAGAAACAGUUGAAUCCUACAGAAUCAAUAUUUGUGUUUUUCUUGUAACUUUUAAAUUAAUUAUGAACAGUCAUAAGUAUAAUAGUUACAUACUAUCACAACCCAAUUCUCGGGCCAUAACCGACGCAAAGGCCCAAUAGGCACAGCCCACUAGACCCUAGCAAGCCUUUCUAUAUGAACUUAUACAUUAGUCCAUCUAUCAUCCAUAUUUCUUUAAGAUCUAUACUUCAUAAUGUUCAAAUGAUAAAUUUCUUCGAAAACAAUUCAUAAAACACAAGUAUAUACUCAUAAUGGCAUCAUCAAUCAAAAUAUACAUAAUAGUUUGCCAAAUGAAUCUUAACAAUUCACAUUAAACAUACAUGUAGAUAUACAAAGACCAUGAUUGUCAGUGGAGUGACUCUGGGCGUGGGUGCUAACAUUUAGUGUCAUGGCAAACCUAUUGAAAAAUGGAUAAAAAUGAGCACCUCGACCUAGGACCCAAUCACCUCCAAUUCAGAAAACCUAAAACACGAAGUUAAAAGGAAUGAACAUAAACCCAGUGAAUGAACAUAGGAAGGGAACAAGCAUACGAUACGGAAAGUUUUUAAAAAAAAAACACAAUCCACUUUUGUUAAAAACAACAAUGCAAUAUAAUGUAAUUUCUUGUUAAAACCCCUCAAUUCAGCCCUUGAAUAGUUAAUCCUUUAGUGUUGAAGAAUUCAUGAUCAACAAUGAAAUUAAAAAGUGAAAACUACAACACUCCAAACAAGGUAAAAAGUUUCUCACCAUCGCGAAAAUCAAUUUGGUUGCAACGACAACAGUGACUUCCAAGACAGAAAGUUUCUCACUGCGGCAAAAAUCAAUAUGGUUGCGGCGAGAACAGUGCAAAUGGAGUUAAGAGGAUUUUCGCUACGGCGAAAAUCCAUUCUUACUGCAGUGAAAAAUGAGGUUGUUUGCAAUGUACUUAUUUAGGUUCAGUUUAUGUUUGCUCACCCCUAGUACAAUUUAUAUAUAUCAUAAACAAACCCGGCGCUAUGUUGUCUUUUAACUCAUUAUAGAAACAUUUGACAAUUUCAAUUUUCAACAUUCAAGGCAAUCACAUAUCCUUUCCCUAACCUCUUUAUAGUAUGUCUUAACACGUAUACAACCACCGGCUCAACCCAGCUCAUGUACACUCCCACACCGCACAUAACUAAUGUCAUCAUGUGCACUCCCACACCGCACAAGGCAAUAUCAUCAUGCGCACUCCCACAUCGCACCUCACCAUCAUCAUCAUGUGCAUUCUCACACCGCACACGCACAGUUGUAGUUAUCAUGCAAUGUUGCCUUUCAAGGCAUAACAUAUAUGUCAACAUGUAAACAAAAAUCUUUACACAUUAAUACUUUUCACAUAAUUUAUUGUUUUAGCCAUACGCUUAGUUACACAAUCCUAUUUUCUAAGGAACUAAUAUUGACCUUCAUACAGCUAUUUGUCACAUCCCAAAAUCAUCAUUAUGUCAUACACCACAAUUCACUUAGUAAUUCAACACAAUGUAGGAAAUACAUGAAUUUAUCACAUCACACAUUUCACAACGUAAAGACGUUUCACCGAAGGCUUGUUCCCAUGCGUAUUUUAUAGAAAAGACAAAUAAAAUUUUUCAAGUGAUUCAUUCAAACGCAUAAGCAUUUAUCCCAAAACAUUAUAAAUGCAAGUUCACUCACCUUAAUAAUGUCACCUUACAAAUCUAGUACCCACAAGAUCCUAAUCCAAGUAAGUCCUGAAAUACCAUCAGAACCUAUGUUUACAAUUAAACCAUGACAGCCUCAAAUAAAUCAUAAAUUUGAACUUAAAAACUCUAAUAAAUAUACACUAGCUAAAUUAUAUUUGAACUAACAUUUAACUUAGAAUUCUAGUCUAAUUCACAAACCCAUUAAAUUGACUAUUCAAAUUUAAGGUUUCUUUACCUUGACGAGCUUGGAGGCAUAAAGGUCAACAAAACCUAAUAUUUUCAAGAAAAAGAAUUUGAAGAUUAGGAAAUAAAAUCUGAAAAUAUAACCCAUAAAUUCUAAAAUUUUAGAGUUGAUAAUAUAUACCUUUUGGCUUUAAAAAAAUGAAUAUCUGAAGCUAAAAAUUCAAGUGUUGAUGACGAUAGAGUAGAAAUAGAAAAUAAAAGAAAGAAAAAGAGAAUUUUUUUCUUCCUCUCUCCUAGGGUUUAGUUUUGCUGAAAAAUGGGGUUGAAAGUUGUGGGUUUGGUACCCAAGAAGGUAAAUGAAGGAAGAAGUAAGAAGAGAAAGGGAAGAAAAAGAAAAUGAAAAAAAAAUUGAUUUUCAUGGUGGAGAGAUGAAAAUGGCGUUGGGAGGGUGAAAAAGAAGAAGAAAAUGCCUUUUUGUGAAGAUAAGAAUCGGUCAUGGAAGAAGAAGAAAAGAGUCAAAGCUUCCCUUUGAAGCUUUGACCAAGCUAAGGGUAAAAUUACCAUUUAACCUUCCAAGAUUUUUCACCCUUUUUAAUGAAGUCCUCCCACAAUCUUUUAAUUCGAAUUUCUUUCUAUUUUUCUUCCUUAACACUUGUACCAAUAAAAUAUCAAGUUUAUACUUCAACGCGAUAUCACCAUAAUAUUUAAAUAUAUACUUAUCAGUGCUAGCUUUAUUUAAUAAAGACACACGAAUCCCACUAAUGUCAUUUUUCUCCGAAAUUUCCUCGUUCUUCUUCUCCCCCCGCUUAGAUUGACUAUAUACUUGUCCUUCAUGACUAAUUUUGACAUCGAAUAAGAUAUUAAUAUUUUAAUAUAAUUUUAUUAAUAAAAUAUUAUUUUAUUUCAAAAUUUUUCACUUGUCUCCUUAGUACCCAAAGUGUCUUAUUAUGCCCCGAUUCACUUUCGAAUCACUUGUUAUCUCACUAAUUCAUCCUCAAUAACGGUAUUAUUAUUAAUUAUUAUUUUCUCACUGCGAAAUGUUUUCCUCUAAAUAUUGUUUUCACCCAUCACCGUUCUUUGACACUUAAAUUCAUGUUAAUUAGCCCUUCAUCUUAUCGAUAUGGUUAUGUUGACUACUAUACGGGGGUACGAUGUAUUACACAUACCUUACUCUAGAUAUCAUAAUCAAGAGCCGAUUAAAUCCAAAAGGCUUGUGAUGGAACAAAAAACCCAAAAAGAGAAUAAGACGACCUAAAAUCCUGCAACCGAAAUCUUUGCUUCUUCACCUUUAGGAUUUCUCAAAUCUUCAGUCACCUAAGUGUUUAGCCUCUAACAAUAAUCCACAUAGUGACUGAAUAAGACCUUCUCAAAGGUAAAAUUUUACUUGUGCUAGUAAGUUUCGUUUUCAAAACAAAAAGAUCAAAAGUUCUUACCAAAUCUUAUUUUUGUAGAUAAAAAAAAACUAUUUUUCUUUUCUUAUUUCAUGAAAUGGCUGAGAAGUAGUUGAAGGCUUAGAGUUUUGGUAUAACGACCCAACCUCGGUCACUAUCGACGUUCGAGACCUUCGGGAGAUCCCGCCAAGUCCCGAACAAGCCUCUAUGAAAUUCUCAAGACAUUUAUUAAAUAUGCUCUCACGUGCAUAAGCGAUUAAUAAUAAUAGUCAUACUACUGAUAUUUCUUUUUAAAUAAUAACAAUUAAAUGUCAACCACCAAGUUUUUAACAAUACAUAUCCAUGAAUUACAAUAAUUCACAACAUCUAAAAAUCUUAUGUAACUUGACCCUAGACAGCGGAGAGACUCGGAGCUGGCUAAGAGAUGCCUUUACCUAUUCUCAGUAGACUGAACACACCGACGAGUACGCGCUAGGCUAAUCCCUACCUGAAAAAGGGGAAAUAAAAAGGGUGUGAGUCUCAUAGACUCAGUGAUCAUCAUCGACCCCGUGAGUAGACGAGGAGGGGAAACAAACAUAAAGAUUGGAUAUUUAUAAAACCAAUAGUAGGCAUAGAAAACAAACUCCAUUAAAUUGAGAGAUUUUGUUUUUAUGUCUUGCAAGUCUUAAAAAUAAUAAAUCACAAGUAAACAUAUAUGAAAACGAUUAUAUUUAGAAUACUAAAAAUCUUUCAACUUUGAUAUUUUGUUAACAAUAAAUUCAAUUACAAGUGUAGAAUGAAGAGUCAAACAUAAAAAUGCGAAAUCACUGAUCACUAAUGAAUACGUAAAUUCCACUUGUCAUUCAAUAAUAAAUUUCAAGUGUAAAUGCCAUGCAUUGUGUAAUAAAAAUCUACAAGUGAGCAUCAUCCUUGGGUCGGUUUAGUAUAGCCCUUAGGCUUACUUUCUCAAACAUCAUCACCUACUCGUGGGAACCUCCCACGCCACCAUAUAUAAAUCGGGGCUUCAGGUCCCCCUUUACCUACUCGUGGGAACUAUCCACGCCACCUUAUAUAAAUCGGGGCUUCAGGUCCCCCUUUUACCUACUCGUGGGAACUACCCACGCCACCCUAUAUAAAUCGGGGCUUUAGGUCCCCCUUUUAUAAUCAAAAUCAAUAAUCAACAAUUAUUACUUUGUGCACAAAGACCACACUUGACUUGGUGUGGUAACAGGUCCUACCCAUAGUAUUUCAAUCACGUUAAAAUGAAAAUCAUUACAAUUUAAUGCAUAAUUUAUUUCAAAGCAUAGCAUAUCCAUCAAAUCAACAUGUUAAGUGAAAUCAAUAAAUUUAUUUAUUUUUUUAUCAAAUCCCAUUAAUAAAAUAAUAACCAUUGGCCCAAACAUCACACAAGCUUGCAAAGUAUGAUUUUGAAGCGAAAGCCAUUGAAAGGUUUGUUUCCCCGUAAUUAAAACCUUGUAGAUAUAUACUUAUGUAUAAUACAAAAAAAAAUGAAUUUAAAAUCCUUGAUUUCAAUCGCAAACAACCUAGAGUUUUUUACCAACUCAUGCUUUCCACAAUUUCAUCAACCAUCAAAUGUAAUAUAUAUAAUAUAUUUACAAGGAUAUAGUUUUUGAAAUUUAGUACCCACUCACCUCAUAAUAGCAGGACGCUACAUCGCUAUUUCUUAUUGUCGAUCGCUCGUCGUUUCUUCUAACCUGCCACUGCAGUGCACCACCUUUACUUACUUUUCCUGAAUAGUGAAACUCAUUAUUAUUAUUAUUAUUAUUAUUAUUAUUAUUAUUAUUAUUUUCUUUCUUUUUUUUUAUUACUUUUUUUUCUUCAUCUCCUUUCUCCCCUUACCGUCGGCCUUCCUUCUAGCCGACGUUCCUCUUUUACUUUUUUUUUUUCUUUCUUCCUUCCCUCUCUCUUUUUUUCUUUUUUUUCUCCCUUUUCCUUCUCCUCCGACACCGCUACUCUCCCUUUCUUUUCCUUCUUCUUUUUUUUUCCUUCACCCUUUUCCUUCUCUUUUGGGACCACUGCUCUCCCUCUGUCUUCCUUCUUCUUUCUUCUUCUCUCUCUUUCUUUUUCUCUAGCAUGCCCCUACUCUCCCUCUCUUUUCCUUUUUCUUUUUUCUUCUCUCUCUUUCUUCUUCUCCAACACGUUGCUCUCCCUUUCUCUCUUUCUUUUUCUCCAACACGUCGCUCUCCCUUUCUCUCUUUCUUUUUCUCUUGGCCGGCCCCACCUUUUUCUUUUUUUUUUUCCUUCAAUGGUCGAGCCCCCUUUACGAGGUGUUACAUUUAGUUUGCUAACAAAACAUAUUUAUAUAAUCAAACUAAAUUGUAACCUUAAAUACAAUAAUUAUAUUUUAAUUUAAUUAAGUCUCUGUGAACUUAAUUAAUUUUUAUACUUUAAUUUGGUCUAUUCUAAUUAAGUCAAACUCAAUUGAUUAUCUUUAUUUAAUCUCAAUCAUGUCACUUAAUGUGUGUGACCCAUUAGGCUUCUAACAUGUUGACAAUAAAUAUAAAUCAUAAUCAAAUAUCAAUUUGAUAAUUAAUUUAUAUUUAUAGAUCAUGAGCGGCAUCUAACAAUACAUCACGAAUACUCAAAUGUUAGAGAGUCAAUUAAAGAAUUUGACAAAGCCCUUUAGUGAUAAGCUUCUCACUACAACACAGUCCUUUCAUCAAAUAUCUUGGAUAUGUUAUUAAGCAUGGCUUGGUGUCUACUUAUGACAUUCCAUAUUAGUUCUCAUAAUUCAUGACUAAUCUUAUGAAUUUAGCAAACUAAGUUUCCUCAAAUUCAUCAUGAUUUGGCCAAAUACAUUAAACAAAUUAAUCAAGAAUUAAAAACAAGUAAGAUACAUCCUCUCAUAGCAUUUGGGGUGAUGAGUCUUCUCUUGACUAGUUAUUCACCUUUGCAUGUAUCAUGGCAUGCUUAAGAACACCAUGUUUAGGCAUUUGGUCGCCUUCAACGCCGUAGGGGUGAAACCAAAGUAUGUCAUUCCUCAUACAAGAUGACAUGGUGUCUCAAGUUUGAGGAUGACUAACCUUAUGAAUUUAGCAAACUAAUUUUCUUCAAAUUCAUCAUACUUUGGCCAAAGACUUUAUACAAGUUAAUCAAGAAUUAAUAACAAGUAAGAUACAUCCCCUCAUAUCACUCGGGGUGAUGAAUCCUCUCUUGACCACUUUUCAUAUUCGCAUACUUCAUGGCAUACCCCAAAACACCCUGUUUAGGCAUCUGAUCAUCUCUUAAUCCGUAGGGGUAAAAUCAAAUUAUGUCAUUUCCCAUACAAGAUGACCUAGUGUCUCAAGUCUGAGGAGUAGUUGCACGACUAUCACAUGAUAACAUAUUCCAUAGACAUUUAGGUGAAACACCAAAUGAAGUUCUAAUAACAGGUCAUGUUCAGUAAACUUGUUCUUUAACAAGCAUCCACAUGUUAUCCUCAACUAUCCUAUAUACUUCAACUUAUGAGAUUGAUUGCUUACUUUCCAAGUAAUGAGGCUUAACAUGUACUAAUCUUUGAGCAUUGUCAAUGCCUUGUCUUGACAAUACAAUGACCAUGAACAAUUUUAAGAACAUAGCUUUGAUGCAUAGUGAUAUCAUAAGUGAAACAACUUUACAAUUCUUUUACAAGGCUUUUAUGUUCCAUGGGUUUCAUCCAAUCAGUGCUUAGUAACUCUUUAUUAUUGCACUAACAUUAAGAAAAACUUCUAUCACAUAUAGUUAUGUAAUUAAAUAUGUAUUAAAUGAUAAUAUAUAUUCCUUGACCAAUCUAAUUGGCUCAAGGGCGUAUACCAACAAUUUUCCACUUGCACUUGAGUCAAUUGCUAAUGUAUCCAAUAUCGAACUUUUUCGCUUGGCAACUGUGUCUGUACUAGGAUACCUCAAAUUGCAAUAUUUGGAAAUAUGUUAAUUUACAUGUUUGACAAUCUCUGUUGUCAUAAUUGAAAUACUAAUUUAGAUUACAACGAGACCUUGAUUCCAUUAUUAUAGCUCUUGUUGUUACCUUAACAACUCGAAAUCAUUUAUUGGUUCAUUAAACCAAUGAUCCAAGUAUCUUUUCUUUUGUAUCCUAAAUAAAAGAUUUGUAUCCGAUUAUAAAUAUAAUCAUGUAGUUAUCUCUUGUUUUGGAACCGGUCCAAUACAAUUGCUCAAUCAUGACUUUCAGUCACUUCUAACAUUUAGGAUUCUUUCUAUGUUAAACUCUUUUAAUAUGUAAUCCUAAAUUCUUUUCUGGAGUCCCUUUCUAGGCUCUAACUCUUUAGUCCAAUUAUAAUUUUUUUUUUAGACUGGUAAAUGCAUCUUGUACACUUUUAAUGCAUAACUUAUCUUACUCCCACUAACCUUAUAAUGUGCACAAAAUAUGUUUAUCUUAUUCAAUAUAUUCAACUAUUUUGAAUUUAUUACAUUGAAUAGAGAUUAUUAUCUAAUCAUUCAUGUUGGAUUAUUUAGUAGACUCAUCUUAUAUGAGUAGUACAUCAAUAUGCGUCCUACUAAUAGUUUAUAUUUAAUGGAUUCAUCUCAUGAAUUAUGCAUCCUUAUGCAUCCCAUUAAAUCAAUCUUUGUGUAUAGAUCUUAUCUAUUGGAUUUCAUAAUUUCAUAACCCUUGAUCUUUAAAAAGUCAUUAGCUCCACUAUUUCUAUCAUGUAUAGAAAUCCUACCAAGUAAACUUAUUUACUUUCUUUUGGGGCAUUAUAUCCAUAACUUUUUAUGUAUAAAUACAUAUUAUAAGUUGUUCAUCAUUGGUUAUGGGAUGAAAUCCUAUCAAAGGUUAAUUCAUGCAAUUAACUAGGUUUGGAAUGCUUUAUGAUUCGUCUCUUAUGAAUUCAAUAUGAUAAUCAAUUGUUAUUUAGUUCUAAGCAAUCUUAAUUUAGAUCCAAGAUUUCAUUAAAAAUGCUCAUUGACUAAAUAUGUUCAUAAUCCUAUUAUGAAUUCAUUGAGUUAUGACUCAAUUUUAUCUAAGUCAACUCAUUAAUUUCCUUUUCUGAUUCAUAAUCAAAAGAAAAAUAAUCUAACAAUGAUCUUAUCAUUAUGACUUAAUAUUGAUUAUCAUAUACGCAAGGUUAUACUUAAAGAUAAAUAAUUUAGAGCAAUUCCAAGAUAAAAUGAGAUGUACUAUAAAUAUAUAAAUACAUAUAAGCUAAGCAUCUCAUGCUAGAAAAAUAUAAAUCUAUGUUUCAUAAAAAUAAAAUAAAAUAUUCAGUCAUAGGCCCAAAACCAAAACAUCUCAUCUUGACAAUCAUGUCAUGAAAACAUUCAAUGUUCUAAAAUUAUUUAUUGUUCCACAAUUUAAUCUAGGUCGACAAGCUUGAUCACUAUCAACUAGGGUUGUUCCCUUCAUGAUCCUAUUUUUCACUGCUCUUUGUCAUUAGUUCCUUCAAUAUGUCAUACAUAUUAUGUCAUACAUAUUAAAAUCAUUAAUAAAGAGUACAAUAUCAUAUAUCAAGUAGUGAAAAAUAAUCAUCACGUGAUUCAUACCUAAAGUGGAAACUUUUUUUUGUUUCUUCCCUUUGAUGGAUUCAAGAUAAUCCUUGCAAUUGCACCUCUAAUGCCCAAGUUUGCCAUAAAAAUGGCAUUUGUCAUUGUCCUUGUCCUUCUGCACUCUUUCCAUAGGCUUCAUAUCUUUCAAAGUUGAUGCCUUUUCACCCUUAUCUUUCUUAGAAAAUUUUCUUUCCUUAUUUUUAUUUUUCUUAGAAGAAACAAGAUGAAUUAGAGGCUUCUCCUUCGCAAUGGUGUUCUCAGUCUGUGUGAGCGUAUUUAAUAAGCCCACAAGGGUUACCUCAAUCUUGUUCAUGUUGAAGCUCAACAUAAACUAUGAAUAGCUCUCUAGUAACGAAAAAAGUACAAGGUCUAUGCUCAAAUUAUGAUCCAUAACCCAACCCAACUGCUCAAGUCGAGUGAUAUAUCCUAUCAUCUUAAGCACAUGAGGCCUUACUAGGCUUCCCUCAGAUAUCUUACAUUGGAACAAUUCCCUUGAAAUAUCGAAUCUUUCUGUGCAACUUUCCUUAUCGAACAUUUCUCUAAGGUUUAGGAUAAUAUCCAGAGCAUUUAUAGCUUCAUGUUGCUUUUGAAGAUCUAGAGUCAUACUAGCCAACAUCACACAUGUGGCAUGAUCGAGAUCAUCCAUAUAAACUCUAUAGGCCUCAUUGUCCUCAUUUGUAGCACCGUCGCUAGAUUCAUUGGGAACAAGACUAUCUAAGAAAUAAACAUUUUUUCUCUUGUUUCAAGACAAUCUUGAUAUUGUGAAACCAGUCAAUGAAAUUUAGUCUUGUUAACUUGUUUGCAUGAAGUAUGCUUCUAAAUGACAAACUAUUCACCAUGAUAGAUUUAUAUUCAAUAUAAACUAACAUAUAUAAUUAUUAGUCACUAACAAAAAUUAUAUAAUCAUAAAGACAAAGUUUCAGAAUCUUAUAUGAUUAUUCUCAAUAUUUUAUCAAAAUAAUAGCCCUCUUCUAUUAUUUCAAGAAUUUAACUUUUAAACUUUUUAUUGAGCUAGGACCAUUUUCAUCCCACCAUGACCUUGAGUGACUCAACAAGUCAUAAUGAAACUAAUUAGGUAGAUAACUUAACUUACCAAUUGUAUUUUAUACAACUCCUAGAUCAGUUAGGUGAUAACUCUUUGUCUAAAUGCAUCAUAUACAUUUUGCCUAACUAUGCCUCUAAUACUAUGUGGUCAUGUGUGACACAUCUAAACAACAUGGUACUAGUUGAGUAAGACCCACCAAUAACUCAAACGUACUCGUGAAAAAGUUUGGCUUUGAGUGACUCAAAAAGCCUCCAAUUAAAAGAGCAUCCUGAUUAUCUUGUUAUAUAGUGAAAGGUAACUUUUAGACUUAAUAUUUUAAUGAGAGAUUUUAUUUAUUAAUUCAUUAAUUAAGGUCUCAUUAAUUUGGCAUUGUUGACAUGCAUAGCAUUUAUUGCAUUUCACAUAUAUCUCAUAUAUAUAUAUAUAUAUAUAUAUACUGAAAAAUAAAUCUAUCUCAUGCCAACUUCUAGGAUGAUUAUGGACUUUACUAAUUCUAAUUUUCUCGAGCCAUUAAGGAAAUUAGUUGGUCAAAAUCCUAGGGGAUUUACACAAACAUCGUCUUCAAGCUUUUCUUGUAAUUUCCUUGAAUCUCCAUGGCGCCUUUGGAUCUCCAUCUUCAAGUUACAAAAAUUUUUUCUAACCCUAGUUUUACACUUUGAUGUAACUAAUUACAUUUUAUAAUCAAGAAACCUCGAGUUACAUUCGAGGGGAGUUACGUGAGAAAAGAAUUUUACAACCCAGAGAAAAUAGAGAUAAGGCAGGAUGCGCAUACAUUAUUUUAAAAUAAAUACUAUGAGAAAUAAAUUUAACCAUCUAUGACCUAAUUUUCUAAAGUCUAAGUCCAUAAUCAUCCUCAUGCUUUAUAAUCAUAAUCAAAAGCAUAGAAAUAAAUGCAAAUUCAAUAUCAUUUGGUGAUCUUAUGUGUUAUUUGAGAAAAGCAUCAAUUAAUUCACUUAAAGUGCUAGACUCUUAUUAUUUUGUAUUGUUUUAUUUCAAUUUAGUGUUUAAGAAAUUCCUAUUUUCAAAACACUUAAAAGUAAACAUUUUACUCCUUAUUUCUUAUUAGAAUUCACUGAAAUAAAAUUUUCCUUUUUAAGACUUUUCAUUUUAAUUCUUUUCAUAAUUAAAACUCCUUUUAAUCUUGGAAACAUCUUUUUUUAGGUAAACUUCCUAAAAUAUAUCUAAGAUAACAUUUUAUUUUCUAACAUUUAGAACAUGAAUUAGUUUCUUAAAUUGUAUGUUGUUCAAGUUACUUAAAUGGUGACUUAACAAAUUUGGAAACUUCUAGUCAAACCAAAAUUUUAAGGAAAGUUCAAUGCUAUCACAUAACUUUAGGAAUUUCUUCUGAAGUAUGAAACUAUUUCCUUUGAAUUUCACAAAUUAAAAUACUAUCCUUAAUUUUAAGAAUUUCUUUUAAAGUAGGAAACAAUUUCUUUUUUUUUUAUAAAUCACUCAAAAUUAAAAUAAAUGGCAUUUAAGUGCUUUUAAAACUCCAUAAAUCACGAGUCAAACUGAGGAAAAAGUUGCUGAAAAUUUUCAGCAAGUGUGUUUAACAAUUAAACACAUAAUUCAUAAAGAAUUAAGCCACCAAAACUGAUCAUAGCUGCCAAAAAUUUUCUAUAUUGAAUCUUUGUUAUUUUGGAACUCGAAAAAUUAUUUUUAUGAACCUUUUUCAUACUAAAUCAAGUUUAGCCGAAGCAUGUAGUAAUUUAAUUUAAUAAAACUAAUUUUUAACAAUUAAAAAUUGCUCAUAACAAUUACCCAAUGUUAAUAAAAAAUAAUCAACGCACUAGUUUUCAAAACACCUUAAAACUAUUCGGUUUUAAUUUGGCUUUGCAAGCCUUUUUAUCCAAUCAUUAAUUCUUCAACUAAAUAUGAUUUUAAACCUUUUAAAACAUGUUUUAAUAAAUUAAUUACAUGUUGUCCAGAAUUGAAUUAAAACAGAAAAAUAAAUUUUAAAAAAAGCUUUGAGAACCGAUAUAUACCAAAUCAACACAUAAAUCAAUCGUAUUAAUUAUCAUCAAGAAUCAAGCAUGCAUAUUACAUAAAAAUAUCAAACAAAAGCUCUUAUACCAAUGUUGAGAUUCGACUUCAUAAACAAUUUAAGAUAACAAUCAUGUUAUCAUCCUUACAUGUUUAGACCUUUCUGCUUAGAAAUCCAUAGUUAAAUAUUUCAAUCUCUUACUUUUGCUAUACAUUCUUUUCUUGAAACAUUUUAUUUACUCAUAGAUUAUUACAACAUUAUCUUUAUUUAUUCCUAUUUUUCAAAGAUGUAGGUAUGUUUAAAGCUACAGGCCAAAUAGACAUGGGAUAUCCUCCCCUUCAUUGAGUUUAAACAAGAAAAUUUGAUGAAGGGAAAGGAGAGAGAGAAUGAAACAAGGAAUUUCCUAAGCUAAAUAUGAACUUGUUCAAACGAUUACAUCAUGCACAUCCACCAAAUAUAUUAUAGAAAGACUUGCUCAAAAUACCAUUCUACAACAGCUAAUUUGUUCCCUUUAAAUCUUUCCUUUGAGAGAAGAGAUGAAGUCUUUCAUUCUUCCCCAUUCUGCCUCGACACUUUUCUCCUCCUCCUCAGCAACCUUGGCCUUGGCCGCAUACUCUGGCCAUUCCUUUCCCAUUGCGUCCCGCUGCGCUUUCAAGUCCUGGGAAAUUUUGAAAAUUUCCUUCCGCUCAGCCAAGAUAUUCUCUUUAUUCUUUUGUGCCUCAACAACUUGCUCAUGGAGAGAGGCAAGUUUUUGCUCUGCCUGUUUCACCUCUGCCUUGGCCUCUUUAAAUUUGACUAAACUAUCCUCUAAAUUACGAGAAAGUGCCAGCUUGACAGAUUCCUUCUCAGUAAGGAGAUUCUUGUCCUGCACUGCUUUCACCACUCGCUCAGGUAGUUGUUUAAAGUUCUCCUCCAUGGCCAACAACUCAUUUUUUUGCUCAAUCGUAAAGGUAGAGGAACAAUCAAAACAAGAUAGGACCUUGAAAGCCUUCUUAAGUGAAGAAAUCAUCCCUGAAUCAUAAAAGUUAGCUGGGGCCAUGUUCAGGGCUUCAUCUAUGUUGACCAGAGCUUCCUUUGCUUCUUCUUGAGAAGAAACCAUGUUCCCGCUUGCGAGCUCAGACUCUAAGCUAGUAAAGAAUGUGUCCAUAUCUUCCUCAGUAGGGUCUUCAGGUUCAAUGGUCUGAAAUAAAGGGAAAGAAAGUAAUAAUAGAGAUACCAAAGAUGCAUAAAAUAUUUACAAUAAACUUGGCUGACUUACCUCACUCUGGGAAGAAGACUGAUCUGCAGGUGGCAAAUUUUGGUUGG
rnacentral:lncRNA from 1 species